GUAUAAUUUGAUGUAUGAUAAGAUUAUGGAUGACUAUACGAAUAUGCUUCCUUGAACCAAAAAUAAAGAGAGUAAAUUAACAAACCUGCAGCCCAAUUCUUUAUCCAUCCACUAAGAAAGAUUAGGGCCUGCCUGACUCCUCUGAUGCCAAACUAGGAAGAGUCAAGAAAUCUUGACAAUGCUUUUCUUAGAUGGCAUCCAGGGAGCCAGGCAGACCAUUUCUGCCUGCAUUUAUUUGGAUGAUGUUGGUUUAGCUGAUAUCCUUCCUCAACAUUAUUGUUUUCUGCAUCGUGCAACACGUUCUAAUGAAAAAAGUCCUAUGGCUGUUAGUUGUUACACAAUCGAUUCAUAAAAUUCUGGAAUUUUCUUAAAUUUGACGAUAAAAUGUGCACCAAAGAAUUUUUUUUUUUUGGCCUUUCUUUCUUUUAAUGUUCCUACAUCAAAGUAGUCAUCAGUUCACAUAUUUUCCAAACAUAAGGAAAUGAAAUCAGAACUUUUGAUAAGUUACAUACACAACACGACCCGAUAUAGGGUUCACGGCAUAUUUUAUCUGAUUCCAAUGAAUGAAAGGUGAGACAGUACCUUCUAAAAAGACUUUUCUUUUACUCCUCCUUUUGUGUUCGAGAGAUUACCCCAUAUAUUAUUAUUUUUCCGUGUUGAAUUUUCCUUAGUCGAAGUAGUCAGCAGUUCGUAUAUUUUCCAAACAUGAUAUAAUCAUAUACUAGCUUCGCAAAAUCGAUCCUUCUGUUCUGUGCCUGGAUUAAGAUGUUGUUGGGUUCAAUUUCCUGCGGUUUUCUUGUUAGACAAAUUUCUGGGAUUGAGCUUGAACUCAUGUUUAUUUCAAUUGUUUCGCUUUUUUUUUUUUUUUUUUUUUUUUUUCUCUGCAAUAGUUCUUUUGUGGCCAGAACAUUCAAGACAUUAAUGCUUAAAAAGAUGUAAGAGGAAAACCUCCUCAACCUACAGCAAGUCAAAUUUGGUUUCCAUUGGAGGACUGCUCCUAAAUUUCACGCGUUCACGCUUCACACACAAAGUUGACGCGGUUGGGAGAAAGGACCCCGGCUAAAGUAGAACCGAAGGGUGUCAGAAUUUUCCAACUUGAUUUAGGCUCUGUUUGGAUUCAGAUUUUUUUGAAAAAUAAUUUUUUUAUCUACAAUGGUACAGUAAUACACAAAUAAAAAUAAUUUCAAAUACAUCAUAUCUAUACAAUAUAUAAAAAAUAACUCCAAAUAUACAAAAUAAAAUUACACAACUAUCCAUCACUCUCCACCAUCACGGCCACCACCCCCACACUCACGACUCUCUCUCCGCUCAUCUUUCCUCCGUCUCUCCUCCUUUUUUCCUCUUCCUCUAUCUCUUUCUCCUUCCUCCUUUCUUCUUUCCCUUUCCCCGCCCCCCAAUUUUCUUCUUCUCGACUGAUCGCACCCUUCUUAGUCACAAUCAAAUCUGAUUGCGACUGAAGCCGUGACCAAAACGAUCGUGGUUAGAAUGGUGACUAAAGUCGCAGCCACCACUAGCGAGCAAGAGAGGGGUUUGGAGUUGGGGGGAAGGAGGGGAGGGGGAGAAGGAAGAAGGGGGAAGGAGGAGGAGGAGGAGGCAAUAGAGGGGAAGAGGAGAGGAAGAGAAAGGAGAGAGGGGGAGGAAAAGGGAGGGGAUAAUGGUGGGUUGUGUAAAAUUAAAAAAAAUUCCAAAAAAAUUAUAAAUUAUAAAAAUAUUCAAAAAUAUAUUUUAAAAAUAUCUCUAAAAAUAAUUCAAAAAACAUCUACAGUAAAAGUUUUUCAUAUACACAACUACAUUAAAGUUUUUGAAAAAUACCUCAAAAAACAGUUAAUCCAAAGAGCCGAUUGUUUCAAAAAAUUGCACAACUUUUUGUUGAAUAUUGGCCCUAACUAAAAGCCAUUUAUUAAUUUUAAAGUGUUUCUUUGUUUUUUUUUUUUGGCUUUAAUCUUCAUAAAGAAACAAGGUAGCUGAUAAUUAAGAGUCCGUGGUGUAUAUCUAAUUUUUAAUUUUUUUUUUUGUAUAGAAACAAUUAAAAUUGUCCGUUUGAAUUGCUAUUUUUUUGCAUUUUUGUAAAAAAAAAAAAAAAAAAGGGUACUGUAACGAUUUGAUGUAUGUGAAACAAAAAUGUGAUUGAAAAAUGUAUUCUUAGAUAACGUAAAAUUUUUUUGAAUAUAAAUGGCAAUCCAAACAAAAACAAAAGUACUAUUGCUUAUUCACUCGUAUUAUGAAUAUCCGUUGUUGGAGGAGAGUGAUGAUUCAACAAAUUUUCACAUAUUGCGCCCUCUUCUGCAUCCUUCUCCCCUUUUGACCCAAAACUUUUGGGUAUAAGGUUCAUCAACUCUCUCUGAUUGAGUCCCAAACCCCUCGAAAAGGCCUAACACGAUAGUCUUCUAAUUCAUUUUCACUUCUUCAGCGAGUUUGAAAUUGAUUUACAACCUGCUAUAUUUGCUAUCCCAACCGACCUUUCGCCUAAUUCGGAUUGACUUGAGUUCAAGUAACUUGAUUUACUCAAAUACUCACUACUGUAUCUCAAGUUCUAUACUGUAAAAGCCUAUUUCAACAACUUAACUAGCAUCGAAUUCUAUUCAAUAAGGAAGGUUUACUCGGUCGUCACAAAAGUCUGGACGAGUUUCUGAUGCGACCAGCCCCACUGGAAUACCGAGCCGUGUUUCAGGCUACUUGGUGCAUAUCGUCCCAAGUUCCACCUUCUAGGUGAUAGCACUGAAGAUGACCUUUUCUGGGUCUAUGGAACUGAUCAUUGACCGUCAACGGCAAUAUAAUAUUUUUUUAGACGAUAAUUAUUGUAUAAUUUAUUUUAUUUUAUAUUAAAAAGAUCGGAUGAAUCUGAAAAAAUUCAAAAAUAAUUCGAAAGACAUCGAAUCACCACAAAAUCGAAACAGAUGCACCACACAUUCAUCUAAAUUUUUAAGCAGAGCUAUAUAAUAUAAUAAUUAAAGAGAAAAGAUUUAAAUAAUUGGCUUCCCAACCCACCAAGCUUGAAUGCCAAAGGCUGGUCGUUGGCACGAUAUUGUCAUUGUGGGUCAUCUUAUUUAGUGAUGUUUCUUUGUAUCUUCUGAAGCUGUCGUCAUCUAAGCAAAGGGCCCUAUAAAUAGGUAGAGCGGCAGUUGACUAGCACGGCAGAAUAACCCAUUCUAAGGCCGAAAGAAGAACGACUUCUGCAGUCUCUUUUCUCAGCUAGAGCUGUUCAUUUUUUUUUCAGUCGUUUUACUUGCGGAAUUAAGGCAAUGAAGGUGAUGCUCUGAUUCAUUUAUUUAACUUAAUCUUGUGCCUUGUCUGGCAAAAGAUAUGUAGCUAACUAAUUUCAAUUUGGUUCCUUGAUUUUGUUACCUGCAGCAAAAAGUCGUGAUUAAACUUUCUAUGAAUGAUGAGAAGUCCCGCAAGAAGGCCUUCAAAACUGUUGUCGGUCACGCAGGUAAAGAAGAAAGUUCAAUUUUUCAAGAAUUAGAUUCCGCAAAAUACGUGAUAAAACUGAUUCUAUUACCUUAGUUCUUGAGAUUCUAAGAAAGAAUUCGGCUGAGAUUCUUAUACAGAUUCUGACCAUCAUUCCUCUGCUUUAUCUUCAGGUGUGGAAUCUACGGCUUUGCAGGGAAAGGAAAAGGAUCAAAUAGAGGUUGUUGGAGAUGGGAUUGAUGCAGUGAAGCUUGCAACUUUGCUCAGAAAAAAUGUUGGGUAUGCAGAGCUUGUGACCGUGAGCCCAGUUGGUGAGAAGAAAGAUGGUGAUAAAAAAGAAGAUGGCAAGAAAGAUCCCAGUUCUACACAGCCACCUGUGGUUUGGUCCACUCAUCCUUAUGUUUACAGCAGCGUACCUCACCAUCUCUAUCAAGUUAGAGACCCCUAUGAUGACUCCAACUGCACCAUCAUGUAAGAAUGCAGGUCACAAGAAAUUUGGGAAUUUUAGGGUUACCGAUCUUUUUCCCAGUCAUACAAGGAAAAGUGAAGUUCAGGGGUGCUGCUAAAUUUUAGGCAUGGUCCUCUAGAGAACUGGAAUGAAGAUGAGAAUUCAAUCAUAGUAAGGUGAAGGGAAGAUACUUGGGUCCGUAGGGGGAGGACUCUGUUUCUUGGUGCUAAUAAACCAGUUGGAGCUAUUGCCUAGGUCUAGAUUUUGGCUUGUUUCAUGCUUAAAAAAAAAAAAAAAAAAUAUUUUGGCUUGUUUCAAGUGGUUGUUUGGUUGUUUUGUAUAUUCAAUGGUUGUAUUUGACAUCCUAGGAACAAGUGUUUGGAUAACUCAAUUUUGCCGAAUGAUAUUUCUUCAGUGUCAUAAACAUAUUUUUUAAUUCAUCUUUUUAUAUUUUCAAUCACAUCACAUAUAUCAAAUCACAGAAGGUAUCACAUAUAUCAAAUCACAGAAGGUAGUACAAUAAUUAUUUCAAAUAACACUCUAUCCAAAUUAAUAUCUAUGUAGUACCACUUUUGGUUUCCCUUGUUUUGUAAGUUUGAUUUGUUUUUGCAGAGAGAAAGGUGAAGCAUAUUAGAUAUCUUUUGCGUAAUUGGAUUAAUAAGAGAGUUUCUGACUUUCCAAUGAGUUGAUCCUUGAUGAAUUAAGCUUCGUUUCUCAACAAUAGAAAUCAAGACGUCGCACAUGGUUUAUGCAAGUUAUAUUGUAGUUAAGACCUUGGGAUGCAACUGAAUCGAGCUGCUCGUUUGGAGUUGAUCAAGAUGAAUUCAAGUUCAAAAAUAUUUAGUUCGUUAGCUAGCGAUCCAACUCGAGUAUAUAUAUAUAUAUAUAUAUACAUAUAUAUAUUAUUUUUUAUUUUAAUAGUAAAAUUACAUAUAUAUUUUUAAUAUUUUAUUAUUUGUUACAAAAAUUAUUAUUUUAUUUAUUUUUAAAAAUAAAAAUAAUUAUUUUUUAAUUUUUUAAUUUCGAAUUCAAACUUUAUAUUGAGAGCUCGUCGAACUCGAGUUUCAUAAAAUUAAAUUGAAACUCGACUCGUUUGCAUCCCUGCUUAAAGUCACAUCAAGGGGUUAUAUCCAUUCGGUAACGAAAUACUAAACAACAAUUUAACAGUAUAAUUUGAUGUAUGAUAAGAUUAUGGAUGACUAUACGAAUAUGCUUCCUUGAGCCAAAAAUAAAGAGAGUAAAUUAACAAACCUGCAGCCCAUUUCUUUAUCCAUCCACUAAGAAAGAUUAGGGCCUGCCUGACUCCUCUGAUGCCAACUAGGAAGAGUCAAGAAAUCUUGACAAUGCUUUUCUUAGAUGGCAUCCAGGGAGCCAGGCAGACCAUUUCUGCCUGCAUUUAUUUGGAUGAUGUUGGUUUAGCUGAUAUCCUUCCUCAACAUUUGUUUUCUGCAUCGUGCAACACGUUUUGUCACCACAUUAACACUGGAAGAUGCAUGCUACAAAUUGAAGCUAUUACUUAAGUAACAUAUUUUAAGUGUUAACUCAACUUGCCAGCCAUCCCAAACAUAAACUUACAAAGAAGAAGGAAGAAAAAAAAAUAACUUACAAAGAAGGAUGUCCCUACAUCUUUAGUCUUUUACCUAUCCAUUCAACUCCAGCUAAUUAGCAAAGGGGAAAGUGCGGGCCAAGAAGGACCAAUGCACAGAAUCUGACAUGAAAAUGUUAUUGGGCUUGAAAGGCACUGAAGUAUUCAAACCUUAUCUAGCAAUAUGGAUGGUUGUAGUUUAGACUUCCUAUCCAAGAUAGAUAACUAGUUUGACUCCUAUUCAUGGCUUAAAAUGAAAGGGAGAUUGUAUGUUUAUGAUUUCCUGGUGCUGUCUUACAUUGCUGUUGAUCAAGCCUUGCUCAGUUCUAAAGGAAUCUAGUUUAGCACACCAACUGCUCUCUGAAUAUGAAUAAAAUUAGUAUAUAUACUUGAUGGUUUUCAUGAUUGUAAUAUAAAAUUAGUACACUUGGAACUCAAUUGAAUAAUACAGUUAAGAUUGACAUUGCAUGUUAGGAUCUAUAGCCUCAAGAAACUUGGUGCUAAACCAUACAAGAGUGUCCAGAAGCUAAACAAGUGUGCAAAUUAUUGUCAAUGACUAAACAGACGUCCACUUACCAGCGAUCCUAGAGUGGCAAAGAAUGCAGCAUCAAAUGAAGAAGCAAACUAGAAAACCCUCCUCCUCCAUCCUUCUUGCUCAUGUUCUAUUUUCAAAGAUUCAUUACUGCUCUCCCUAUCUCAAACAUACUCGAAAUCGGAAUUUUUGAGAGGAUGGAAGUCGAAUGCGUACAGGGAUUGCUAUUUAAACUAGUUUUGAAGAGGAAGGACAAGAGAAGAUCCAAGCACAAGUUUGGAUGGACAGCUCUUGGGGGCAGGCGGCAAAGGCUUUUCACAAAUGCAAACACAUUUUCUAUAGCCUCACCUGUAGGGUGGGUGAUAGGACCAAAGAACAAAUUUAGGUUGUUUUGUAUGCGAAUUUAACAACUUUGGCUGGCUUUCCCUCUCAUUGCAAAUGGCCAUUUGCCCUAUCACCUUCGUUGUGAUUAAAUUAUUGAAAAAGCCUGAUUUUGCACACUCAGUUAUUUUGCACCUUCAUUUUAAAGAGUCAAUAAUGAAAAGGGUUAAUUUUGCAUACUUGUUAUCGUUUAAUCUUAAAUUGUCUACAAAACACUAGUCCAAAAGCAACUCUUUAGUGUUUCUACACCAACCUCAAUGAACAAACUUUUUUUCCCCCCUAUUUUGAAGCUUGUCGAAGAGCAAAAAAAAAUUCAAAACUUUGAUUUCAGUUGUUACGGCCUAUUGGAUCCAAAGAUUUUUUUUUUUUUCUGGCUAUUCUUUUUUCCGCAUUCUUCUGAGAUAGAGCCAAAGAAGUGUAAUUAUGUGGAGUUGUUUACCAUAAUCCCAUUAAGAAAAGCAUUUGACUGGCUGAUGUAGACAGGGCCAGAGCCGCUGCAUGAGACAAAAACACCCUUGAUGUGGAAAGGGAUCUUGACGGAUUAACUCAUAUUCAUUCAGCAAAUAAUACACUAUUAUUGAGUUGAUCUCAAUAAAGUAUUUUUGUUUCGAUAGGUUUAGACUUGAUCCAUCUUAGGGGUUGACGGAGCGUUCGUGAGUUGGAGAUCUGCAAGAUCGAAUUACUUGCUAGAGCUCCAAGAUCAAAUUACAUGCUAGAGCCUUAUUAGGAAGCAAGUCCAGGGACCGUAGCCUGCUUUUGUGAUCAUUGACAGAUUCAUCCAAAAAUCCAAUGUUGGACGAUAUUUGAUUGCAAAUUGAAGGAUUCUAUAAUCAAAUCAUGUACAAGUUUUUUUUAUUUUUUUUGUUUUGAAUUGGUAGAGGUUCUAGAGUUUAACUUGUACGGUUGUAUCCUUUUAUUGGAGCCCCAUCACAACAAAAUUAAUUUGGCCAUAAUUAGUGAUUCUGUUCUUUGUUUUUGUUGUGAUUCAAUUGAUUACAUGAGAAAUUAGUGCGAAUUUAUAGCAUCUGUGACGGAUUCAAUAUAUUUUCUGUCGUUAGUGCAGAUUUCAUUGGAAUUGAAAGUAUAUCUUGUUAUAAAAAAGGAAUUAGUUGAUUUUGGUAAAACUCAUUACUAAGAUGUAAUUCAAGAAACAAUUUUAAAGGAAUUGUGGUGAUGAAGUAUCAAUAUUCAUUUGGUGGCAAUCGAGACAAGAUUAGAGUUGAUACAUUUCAAUUGUUAAAUUUCGUGUUCAAUAAGGUGAUGAUAACGCGAUAGAUAAUCGAGAUUGUCUUACCCCCCCGUGCAGAAAGUAAACAUCUUUGUCAAAUCAUUGGUCAAUCAAUGGUCAAUCAAUGUUCGGGAUUAGUUAUUUUCGGCACUUGAGAGUUGAGAAAAAUGCUUGUCAGGAAGGAAAUUUCAACACAAACUAUUACGUGAAGGACUCAUCAAGUCAAAUAUCAAACGAAGUCGUACACAGUAGUAUCACUAUUUCUUCAGAGAAAUCAAAUUUUAAUUGAGAACACUUCCCGAAGCAUUCGUUCAUGUAGAACUCUUCUGUCAACGGAAAAGUGUGUUUGAUAAAGGUGAAGUAUAAAAGCUGGAAUUUAAAAUUUUGAAUUCAUUAUGUUACUGAAUUGUUAUGUAUUAAAUGUGAUACAUUUGAAUAUACAUCACGUUAAAUUUUGUCUAAAAAAUUCAGUGGCUCUUAAUUAAUUUAGAUGUUCUAUUUUUAACUAUCAAAUGCGUCUCUGUAAAUGUUAAAAUCUGAACCUAUUAAAAUUAAGUGUAGAAUUGGUUUAUUAAACAGGGCCUAAGUAUACAAGGGAUUCUAAUUUAUACAAAUUAUUUCUUUUUUGAAAAAUAUUUUGGAUGAAGAAUGUCCAUUUGGCACUCGUUUCAGGAGGUCCAAGUGUUAAUUUUUUAUUUUUUAUUUUUAAAAAGUGUAGUUAAUUUGGAUCAGUAUUUUAAAUGCGAAGGGUGUAACAAUUGCAUUUGUGAUUAUAUACUUUCACAUGAAAAGUAUUUAUGUAUGCUAACGAGUACUUAUUGGAUACCUAUUAGAAUAAUCUUUAACGAAUAACCCUAAAACAUCUCAAACAAAACGAAGAUAAAAUGAUUGAUAAGCAAAUAUACCUCUUCUCCUAUGUUCAAAUUCUUCAAAAGAGAAACAGACAAGCUAAGGCGUAUCCCAUUCCGAUAAAAUCAUAAAGAUGUAUGCCCAUUUUUUUUUUCUUUAGGAUGUACGACAUGCAUAAAACAGAACCAUCAAUUCUUCAAGGAACAAAAUAUUACUCUGCCAAUGACCUAAAUGGAACUUACAAAUUUCCUUGAUCUUCUCCUAAAUGGAAUUUGACAUAACGCUUUGUUUUUCCCUUUUUUUUUUUUUUGGUUAGUGUGGAAGCAUUAUUACUGACUUUUGUGUACAUAAUGGACUUCUAUAAAACCACACAUUCCUCAAAUUUCUAUGCAGAAGACAAUUCUUACAUCAGUAAUUUCUUUAUCUGCGAAUAACAAUCUUCUUCUGAUUCGAUGCAUGAAAAUGUUCACAGAAUCAAAGGACAUUGAAUGGGGACAUCAAAGGUAUAGAAUAAAUGUAGAAAAUCUCAGUUUCAUUUUGGUUGCUCAGUGGAAAUUGGCAAGAAAUCACUGAAUUGAUUUGGUGGUGAAAUUUUUUCACGUUCGAUUUGGUUGUUUUACUUGCUCAAUCAGGGCAGGAAAACAAACAGCUGGCGUGCAAUAUUAGGCCCGGAACUCAGGAAGCCCCAAAGUCCAUGCGUCUUAUUCUUUUAGCCAGGUGGGUGGACCUAUACCAAUUAUGAAUGUGAUAAGACCAACCACUGGGCCAAUGGCCUUCUUGAGCUAUAGGUGAGGUUCGGCGAAAAACAUCUGAGGAUUGCAAAUUGCAAAAUGGUCCCUUGUGAAAGGAAAAGCAGAAAAAACGAUACUGACCAAUAGAGAAAGCUUGAAGAUAAACCUCCUCAAGAACAUUCGCUAUAAGGACCAUUUCUCAGAAACGUUAAAGCAAAGCAAAAUUAUAAAAGGGGAUCUAAGGCAUGCGGAACUGCAAGCACUUACCCAACACAACUAUUAGGGUUGACAUUCUUUAAAGUUGAAACUUUUUACACUCGCUUUUUGUUUUUUCUUUCUUUUUUUGGGGGUAAAAGGCAUCUGAGUCCAUCUCAGAAGCUCAGUAAGGGUAAAAAACAAAUGUGACAUGCCAUCCCAUGCCAAAUGCUGCCAAAGUGGAGUGGAGGAAGAAUAUGCAGAAAUAUUCAUCAGUGGGCUGUCACAUUCAUCUGCUCAAAUGAUCCCUUGCAUCAUUCCAAGUGAAGCGGGUGGGGACCAGGGGCAGGAACGGUGGUUGCUCUGAAGGUUACGUGCAUUUUGCACACGGCGUAAUUCUGUUUGCACAUGGAAUAACUUACUUUCAACAACGUGUAAUUUUUAAAUAAAAUUUUGUGGGUCUUACGCAUGUUAUUAAAAACGAGGUACAAGAUGAAAUUUGAACCGUAUAAUUUUUUUUUUUGCUAAAUCUUGACCGUGAACUAUCGGAAACAGUUGCUUCCUGCAACAGUUCUUGCCUCUCUUCCAGCAGGUGUGGAUGGUCAUCAACGCAUAAGAGGCUCGAAAUAACAUGCUUGACGUGACCACAUAUGAGAGAAUAAUAAUAUAAGUGCAAGGUUGGAACUCGGAACUUCAAAAUAUGCUCGAGACCCAUACAUACAUACAUACAUAUAUAUAUAUACGUGUGUGUGUGUGAGCUCAUGCACUCAAAAGAAACAAAGAAGCCAAGAAAAAGGAUCAAUCGGGAGGUAAUGACUGUAGAAUUGAGAGGCAACCAGGCUAGCAAAGUAGCAAACUCUUCAAAUCUCUGCCUCUCUCCCGAGCAGACAAGGUAGUAAUGAAUAAUGAUAAGGGCCAUUUCUGACAACAUCGAAGCGCAGCCUAAUUGAAUUGGUCUGUUUCACUUACAACUAACAUAAUUGAAUUGGUAUGUUUCACUUACAACUAACAGGUCACAGGUUAAAAUCACUAAAGAGAUAAAUGGGAAAUCAUUAUUGAUCAUUUAAAUAAAAAAAAAAAAGAAGAGGUUCAUAUCCUUGGUUAACAGGGUCGUAUCCCAAAUUCUAGUAGUUCAUUUAAUUGAAAGAACUUUAAAAAAAAUAAAUAAAAAUAAAUAAUUGUGCAAUUUCACUAGAUAGAAUGACAACCUUGUAAAUGGGGACAUUGAACUCAAGUUAGAAUAACCUUAUCUUUGUGGAAUUUUAUAAGUAACUUAAUAGUUAAAGCUGUAUACAAGUCAGAUCGCUUGCGAGCAAUUCGAAUCAAAACUCAACUUAACCUCAAUCAACACCAAAUUUGAGCUGAUCAAGUCGAAUUCGAACUCGAACUUGAUUUCAAAAAUACUCCAUUCUCAAUUAGACCGAAUCUCAACUACUCGACUUGUUUAUAGCCCUUCGCCGGUCCAAAAAAAAAAGGCAUUUCAAGUCACAUAGUAAAGUUGACAAUUUAAAAAACGAUUAUGUUGCACUCUGUUGACAGUAAUAUGCUUAAAUUAGCUUAUGAUUACCUCAUUUGAAUCUAAAUGCUUCCUUCUGCGAUCUUUUUGUCUUAAUUUACGUGUCCAAGACGCGAAUUUCAUAUUCACGACUUUUUUUGAGUUUGUUUUUGACAAAUUCUGAAAGCAAUGGCUGUUCUAGAGGAAAAGAGAAAUCAAACAAUUAUUGGGAAUUGGUGGUCUGCUCUCUACUCAACGUAUUAGUGGUUGGAUGCAGAUUUUUCCUCCUUUUUACUUCUUCUGUAAAAGCUGUACUCUUCUUAGGGGGGAAACAAGAACUUAAAGGGUCAAAAGAGCUAUCAAUGGCCGCAUACAUUAAAAGAAUUGAAAAUUCUCAGAGUAUGCAAGUGAGGAAAUCAAAUUCUAGAAUUUAGUAUGUCAGCGUUUACGUUAGUUUUUGUACAACGCUGUAAGACUUUCAGGUGUGAUUUUAUUUAGAGAAUUCACAAUAGAUAAUUUUGACCGUAAUGUAUAAAUUGACAUCUUUUUGGAGGUGUGACAAAAUUAAAAAUUGCCUUCCAAUUUUUACGCGCCUAGAAGUGUUAUUGAUAAAAUGGCCGGUUUGCCGCAACGGAUCUUCUGUCUCACGCUCUGUGUCACUUUCUGUCUCAUUUUUUAUUAUAUUGCUAUUUCAACUACAUAAACAUCAUGUUUUAGUUUUUUUUUCUUAAAAUUUAAUAACUAUUAAUUGAGUAAAAAAUAAAUACAACAGCUUCAAAAAAACAAUAUAUAACAGAAAAUUAAAAAAAUAUAGCAGAAAAAUCAUAAAAAAUCUCAUUUUUUAUGCAUUUUGAUUUUUUGAGUUUUUUAAAUUUUGUGUAUUACUCAAUUAAUAGUUAUUGGAUCUUAAGAAAACAAAAAAGAACUAAAACAUGAUGUUUAUGUAGGAGAAAUAGCAAUAUAAUAAAAAGUGAGACAGAGAGUGGCACAGAUUGUGAGACAGAAGAUCCGUUGUGUCGAUUUGCCAUAUUGAUGCCUAUGCCAGAUCUCCUCUGAAAUUGACUUUGUUAUGUUCAUGUGCAAAUAAUUAGAGCAAGCUUCACAAAUUAGAAUUGACAAUUACUUUUAGAUGACUGCUAGCUGGCCCUAUAUACAUACAUAUAUAUAUAUAUCAACAAUGGUCCUGAGUUUUAUAAAUAAAUUAUCUAUACAAUCUAUAAAUAUAUUUUUGUCACUUUAUACAGUUUCAAUUUUGCACUCAUUAAAAUUACUUAUUACUUUACUAAUUAAACACAAAUUGCUAAAAUAACUACAUGGAACUGUUUUUAACCAUAAUUAAUCUAAACAUAUCGUGGCAAAAUGACGGCCUCUAACUGUCUAAGCGUUGUAACUAUUAAAACCAUCAUUUGAUGGGUGCAAAGGUUAAAAUAUCACAAUUUGCUUUAUUAAUGAAAAUUGUAUAUAAAAUUAAUUGGCAAAGAAAAAAAUCUGAAUUACACACACAUCACGCGUGUCUUUAGCACUAGUAUUUAAUAAUACAACUAAUACACACAAAGUAAGUUGAAUGCCAAGGAGGCUUUAACCUAGUGGUUAAUAUUGAAACUUGCAGCAGAGUUAGAGCUUUUGGGUGCAAAUUCCCCCUCCCCACUUCUUAAAUUCCACGCCCCCCCGCUAGAUUAAACUUUUUAUUUAAAAAAAAAAAUGGUAAGCUGAAUAUUGGCAUAUAGUUAGUGAAACUCGCAUAAUGUUAUAAUUGAAUCCAAAACCUUUGAUUCUUGGUCCAAGAUCACUUGAUAGGCUGAAAAAAAAUUCUAAAUAUAAAUUGAAAGGUGGGAAACAAAAAUGAGAACAAAAAUGAGUUUUCACGAUCUUAUUUUUCUAGGAUGUGAUGAUUUUCUAACGUGAAUGUCAAAAAUGUACUACAAGGAAGCAGUUGUGAUGAAGAGUGUGCAUAUCAAAACAAAAAUGAGACAAAUUGUGGACACAGCAGAGACCAAAAGGAUAGAGAAACAAGAACAACUUGGGAUUGAUUAGCAAGUACGGUUCCUACCACCUUCCAAAUUCCAAGCUUCACCUAGAAAUGUUGCCUAUGGAACUGAACUAAUGGAGUUAUUUACUAGUAUUGAUCAGUGACUCUAAAAAAUCUACAUAUCAUUAAUGAGCUGCAAGAUCUAAGGCGUCUUUGCAUGUGUGCAUUGCGCAUCUGCAUGUGCCUUCUUUGUAGCCGUUGAUGAUUAUUAGACAGAUUUUCUGCCUUUUCAACUCUCACAUUAUUGAUUGAAUGGUUUCCUCCAGUUCAUCGUUUUCUUGAAUUGUUGGCGUGAGAAAACCAAUUCAUGGUCUCAAAUUUCGCAGCGUCUGAUGGCAAGUUUGUGGUCCAGUCAUAUAUAUGCUAGUUCCAUAUAUCAAAACCGAAGACCUACCAAAACUUGCAAUUGGAGUUGACAACACACAAAUGUAGACAGAAGAUGGAUCGAUCUCACUAGCCGUUUUUGAUCGAACAGAAGUCAAAUCUCUCCUGCACCCGAGGCAGAUGCCCAAGAAUCUUUUAAUGGCUUUCAACCUAAAUAGUUGCAAGUUCAUAAAAAAUGAUGCUAGAUUCUUCUUUUUCUCCCCCCAUAUUGGUGAUCACUAUAAACUCUCUUCUUUCCUUUUCUUUUUCUAGCCCCUCUUGUUCGAUAUAAAUAACUAACUCUCUCUUAAUUGGAGGGCAGAUUCGACAAAAAGGCACUUUGGCCCUGCGCAAUUGCAGUUAGAACAUUUAGUGUAGUUUAUGGUCAUUGGUCAUUGUCCUUCAAUUUUAUAUUGCCCAAGAAAUGCGCAUCUUGAUGAAUGCUUUCGGAACUUCUAGAGAUGGGAUCCUAAUUUCAUACAUUGCGACUGACGAUGCUAUUGAUGAUAAGACGCUUUGGAUUUGGUCAAAAAUCCCUUCAAUUGGUGGAAACAAUACAUGAAUCUAUUCUCCUAAAAAUUGGGGACUUAAUGUUGGGGGAGAAUCGAUGUAAAACUCAUGUUCUCGAAUUCGAGAUCCUCCACAUGAAUAUUCGCAAAGAAGAAAAAAUAAGGAAAAAAUUCAAACCAUAAAAUUUAAAAAUAGAAAAAGGAUGUGAUAUGAAGGCCUCUAUAAUUUAUUUAGAUGUUAAAAACGCAGAAAAUUCAUUUCAUAAAUCCCAAAUUUCAUACAAGCAAGCAAGGCCACAUUUAUCAGUCAAAUGUCAAUGAAUGACAUGAGAUGAGACGAUGACUAAGUUAUGGAAGAUUCUAAAUCGGAUUCAAAAUUCAAUUAGAGGUUAGCCGAAUUGAAUUGCGAAGGAAUCUUCAAAGGUCUCUCUAUCCCAUAUUCCCAUUUCCUGUUGCUGCCUGCACUUUUUCAACUUCUAUCCGAUCAAGGCACAAUAACAAAAGAUCAAGGGCCCUAAAAGGUCUCACGUAUAUCUCAACUGUCAACACUUUUUUUUUUUUUUUUUAAUCGCCAACUUUUGUUUUAACUCUAUCCUGCAUUAGGGAAGAGGCCAAUUGAAUCAAGGUUUUUUCUUUUUCUUUUUUAGGGUUAAAGUAAAGGGGGAAGAUUUCACGUCUAGACCAAAUCAAUGUAUUACUGCACGUCUUCGCCAAGUGCAGAGAUUUGAAUUCCUGAGUUGCAGUUGGACCUGCACCUUGGUUAACUCGCAGAAAUUUAAAUUCCUGACCUGUAAUUGGACCUGCAUCUUGGUUAACUCUCAACUAUUUAUAUCGCCAUUUUUUCCCUUUUGUUUAUGAGGAAAGAAAAUGCCAUUUUCCUUAAAACUCAGUCUGAUUCCUUUUGAUCAAAGAUCAGCAGCGUUGGCAUUUCUCCACAUCUAGAGCAAAAUUAGCUGUACAAAAUUGGUAAGGCCUUUCGGCCAAUAUUCUUGCCGUUCAUCUGUCCAGAAAGUCGUAAAGAAGUUUUGUGAUUAUCUUCAGAAGUUAUAGGCUUACUAUUGUGCAAUGCUAAUGCACACCCGAUAUCGUGCAAUUAAUUGUUUUGAUGAAAGAAAAAAAUUUGAAAGCAGAAAGAGAGCAGAAAUUACGAGAAGAAGUCAAAGAUAAUAGAGAACUUUUUUGUGGAUAAGUGGAGGAGAAGUAUAAGUGGUUAGCAGUUGUGGGGACAAAAAAAAGGAGAAAUAUUAUUUACGCUCCCCUUUUUGUUAUUUGCACUCUCGCUAUCAUUUUUAUUAUAUAGUUUUCAUUUAUUAGAUUAUAUUGUAUAACAAAUUAUGGGAUUGCAAAGAACAAAAUAUGGAGUGCAAAUAACAUUUUCCAAAGAGUGGAUAAAGUCGUUUAAGAAAUUUUAAAAAUUAAAAUUUAGUAUAUCUUUUUUGCUAAUUUUGGAACCAUCAUACAGUUAAUAAUACAAGAAAUUUUAAAAAGUUACACUGUGUUGUAUAGUUCAUGCAUGAGGGUCAAGUCACAACGCCCUUUCAGCAAGAACCAUUACACUAACUUAUUUUCUUCUACUUUACGUGGUUAAAUUUUUUUUUUUUCCUUAGUUCAAAAGAUGAAUUAUGCGUCCUGCCAAUUAUUACAUACAAUGAGUGACUGAAACUAAUUUCUUGCUUCAUAUUGAGCAAAGGGACCAUGUAAAUUGUAGGUUUGGCCCAGUUUUACUGGUGACGCCACUAGCAAUGUUGGACCACGGGGUUGGUCAUCACCAUCCACUAUGCCUAGUAAAUUUUUUUUGGAUAAGAUAAAAUAUUUCAUUCCAUGAAAUCUGCAUCAACGACAGAAAAUAUAUUGAAAAUAUCACGGAUACAACUAAUCUAAAUAAUUACUACUAGAUUUAAUGACGGAAAAUACGAUGAACAUUAUCACAGAUACAACUAAUCUAAUAAAUCACUGGAUUUAAUGGCAGAAAAUACAUUGAACAUUUCAUACGUACACAACUAAUCUAUAAAAUCAUUGAACAUAUAUCACGGAUACAACUAUUCUAAGAGAUCGCUACAUUAUCUGAAAAAUCACUAGAGCUAACAGAUACAACUAAUCUGAAAAAUCACUACAUUAUCUAAAGAUCACGAGAGGUAAUAGAUCUAGCAAAUAACAAAAUGAUAAAGAUUAUGCUGUAAAACUCCAACAAAUCGGGAUCACGAAUAGCCCAAUGAAUAUCUAGUUUGGGAGGUUUGUUAGACUGAGAUAGCCAUCCUGAGAGACGAGAAUUGAGACAAGAUCUCCAAGGAGAUGCUUGCAAUCAAAUCUCCAACUGUGAUUGAUGAAUACAUGUAGAUAUAGAUUUUGCAAUUGUAAUCUAAUUUCAAGAGUAUCAAUCGCAUCAUGUGGCAAGGUGCAAGAUUUAGAUACCAUGAAAGGAUAAGUUAAACACAUGUACAUGCCAAUUGGAAAGUUUCUUUCAUGCAAAUUAUUUACAACUUUUUCAGGGGCAAUUCAGUGGAUGCAUGUAUCUACGCAAAUCCUUAAUGCACCGAAUUUCUUCUUCUUUCUGCUAACUUGUAGGAUUUGGAGCCUUUCGAACCAAACGAAUAACCACCACAAAAUUCGAGUCAAUAUGUAAUAUACUACAACAACACAAGUUCUUAUACGGUGAAAUUCUAUAGGAGCCCUUCAGGAUGUAGAGUUUCUUUAAGCAAAAGACUUUUAAAUCACACCUUAUUACGAGUUAGCGGAAGAGUGUUAUUCCAAAUGGUAACGGUUCUCUCCUCCUACUUUAUCUCUCUUGAUAAAAAGAAACAUAAAAAAAAAAAAAAAAAAAACCAAUGCCAGCAGCAAAGCAAAACAGAACACUUUAAAUAGACUGGGGCUACAUAGGAAGUGCAAAGGAGAAAGAAGAGGAAGUAAAGGGGCGCCAAACAAAGGGAGCAACAUCAAAGGGAGGCACAAUGAGAGCUAGUGCUUCAACCAUUUACUUCAUCUCACUUCUUUUAUCAUUGCUUCUUAGUCCCACUUUUGCUAUCAAAAAGGUCAGCAUAUAAUUACUUGACAGCCUUCUUCAAUAAUUCAAUUACUAUACUAUCAGUGCCUUGUUUUUUCUUUUUCAGUCGAAGUAACAUGGUUUUUGUUUUGUUUUUCAUGUGUACUUAGUCUUAUGUGGUGUACUUGGGAGCUCAUUCUCACAGACCAGAAGUCUCAUCCAUCGACUAUGAUAGAGUAACAGAUUACCAUUAUUCGUUUCUUGGGUCAUUUUUGGGGAGGUAUAACGAAAUCUAUAUGCAUGUACAUAUUCAAAAUCCUCUGCUUUUUCUUGUUUUUGCUCGAGAUUCAGUGACUAAUAGAAUUUUCAUGCUUGGACUUCAAACAAUAACAGUAAAGAGAAGGCGCAAGAGGCAAUUUUCUACUCCUACACGAGACAUAUUAAUGGUUUUGCUGCAAUACUUGAUGAUGCAGAAGCUGCUGAGAUAUCUAGUAAGCAAUUUGGAUUAGUGGUUCUUCUCAAUUUCUCUGGGCUGUUUUAUCUUUAGUUCGUGUUCGUAACCGUUGACAUCAUAUUUUCCUCUUUGAGUACAGAACAUCCAGAAGUUAUAUCAGUGUUCCUGAAUAAAGGAAAGAAAUUACACACCACCAGGUCGUGGGAAUUUCUGGGGCUUGAGCAUGAUGGCAAAAUUCAUCCCAGUUCACUAUGGAAGAGGGCAAGAUUUGGUGAAGGCACCAUUAUUGGCAAUCUUGACACUGGUGAGUUUGGCUAGGUCCAAUCCUACUUAUUUGGCAUUCUUUUUGGAGUAAAGCAAUGUUGAUCAAUUCAGCAUUGCGGUUCAGUUAACUGCAGAUUGUAAGUUUUGCAUAUUUCAUCUAGGAGAACUGUUAGUAUUUUGCAGAUUUAGUAUAAAGUAUCCAGCCUUUUCCUUCAGUCUCUUCAGUUUACUGUUGAUAUACUGAUUCUCCUACAAGUAGGCAUAGAAGUUCUUUUUGGCUUUUUUAUGUAGUGCAAGCAAGAAAGUUGGCAAUUGAUAACUUGUAUCCGGAUCAUUGACUUGAUGAUUUAACCGGAUCAUUGACUUGAUGAUUUAAGAUAAAUCCUUUUUAUGUCACACUUAAACUGUUGUAAUUUGUAAUGACAAACAUAAAAGGUUUGGAGUCCUAAAAAUAAGCAAUAGUAAAUGAUUUAUUGAUUUUUCAAGAUCUCGCCGGGAUGCUGGCAUGACCAACCACUUUCGCACAAGACAAAAUGUUUAUCUAAUUGAGGCAGUCGUUAUUAAACAUUGGUUGACCAAUUGCCUAGCUUGAAAGAUUAUUUUAUUUGCAAGUGUUGAUGUACUUGAUUGAUUUUCAGUGGCUGCAGUCUCUUCUUUCCCCUACAGCUCCCGGGGCUCUACACGAUGUUUGCAAUAUACUUUGUCUUCUUUUAGGAAAGUAGGACCGAUACCACUUAAAAAUUUGGCAUCUAUUCAAAACAGUCAUCGAAGUUGUAACUCUGCAUUCACUGCAAAAUAGUAUUUUGACAGUUUAAUUGGUGGCGUUCUAACUCCUGGACAAUGCAAUUGUAUGCCGUAUUACCAUAGAGAAAAAACACAAUAUUUGACAAUGGCAUCUUGGAAUGAAGUAGCAGAAGCUUCCCAGCUGUGAAGUUGUAUCUUGGAAUGAAGUAAUUUGUUGCAUGCAAUUUAUCACUCUGUGGCACGAAAACUUCGGACCAUGGUUACCCUGCUUUGAAAGAAUUCUGUUAUUAUCAUAUUACAGCACAAAACCAUCCCAGCAUCCUCAAAUUUGUUUGUAGAAAAUUGUUCCUUGGACAAAUGAAGAUGCAAAUGUGGGCAUUUUAGUCCAUAAAGUUUAUCUAAUAUCUUCAUACGGCCAACAAGAUAGCAACAAUAAGCAUAUUUUCGUAACUGAUUGGGCUAUUUGUGUGCUGUUGUUUGGCUGGGAAAUUCUCCACUCAAAUACCAACUAAUGCUAAUGAAAAUUUUUAUGUUAUUCUGGCAAAUCAGAAUUCAAAUUGGAAAUUUAUUUUCGUAAAAAUUUGAAGAGAUUGGUGAAGGAUGGCUCCUAGUGUUAAACUUACAAGAAUUGCAUUUGCCAGGUGAAGGAUGCCUCCUAAUGUUAAACUCCUAGUGUUAUUCUGGUUUUCUCCACUCUUACUAGAUCCCUUUAUGUGAUUGAACCAGGUGUAUGGCCAGAAUCAAAGAGCUUCAGUGAUGAUGGGUAUGGUCCGAUUCCAGUGAAGUGGAAAGGAACUUGUCAAAAUGGAGAAGAUGAAACAUUUCACUGCAAUAGGUAAUAUUUGUGUCUAUAUCUGUUGCAGCUCUUCUUUUUCUUGUCACUGUUUACAGUUAUUCUGCAUAUGCAUGAAAAGGUUUACAAGUUCAACUAAUAGUCAUGGGUGGUUGAUUAUACUUGUGAAAUAUUCAAGUAUUGGAGGUCGAUGAGAAUAGCAUAUACCUCUACCUUGAUUUUUGGGGCGUGCAGCUAUAUGGACAUAACUCCUAUCAUGGUUUUCUCAAAUUCCUUGAGAAACUUAUUGAAUUUCUGAAACAGUUUUAAUAAUGCUAUGCCUCAAUUUAAGAUUGGGGCUUGAAGAAAGUGUCCUUAACUUUUACCGCUUAGUGGCAGAAGUCACAAUGUCAACUAACAGAGCAGAUAACCAGAUUUAGCGUCCAUACUGCUGUGCAGAUUUAUGCAAUUUAAAGUUUCCUUGUUCUUGUUUUUGUCCUAGAAUUUGUAGAAGUGCCAGGAACUUGUAGAGUUUUGGGAUUGAAAAAAAAAAAACUCAAAUUUUCAACUUCAGAAAGGCUUUUUUGCCCUAACAUGUGACAGACUGAGAAUAUCAUAGGCAUCAGCCUACUUGAGCAUAAGAUAAACUUCUAGAAUGCAUAAGAAACUGAUGUGCUUUAAUUAACACGGUUACCUGUUAUGUCCGAAGGAAACUCAUUGGGGCAAGAUACUUCAACAAAGGAUAUGCUAGUGCUGUAGGAAAGCUCAAUUCCACUUUCAACUCACCACGAGAUGGAGAAGGCCAUGGAUCCCAUACCUUAUCAACAGCUGGUGGCAAUUUUGUAGUUGGAGCAAAUGUAUUUGGAUACGGAAAUGGAACAGCAAAAGGUGGAUCACCAAGAGCUCGAGUCGCAGCUUACAAGGUCUGCUGGCCUCCAGUGUCAAAUAAUGAGUGCUUUGAUGCAGAUAUUUUGGCUGGCAUUGAUAUGGCUAUCCACGAUGGUGUUGAUGUGAUUUCAGUAUCACUUGGAGGAGACCCUGUUCCCUAUUUCAAUGACAGCAUUGCAAUUGGCUCCUUUCAUGCUGUUAAGCAUGGUAUUGUAGUGAUCUGCUCAGCUGGCAAUUCUGGACCUACUCCUGCCUCUGUUUCCAAUGUUGCACCCUGGCAGAUCACAGUUGCCGCAAGCACCAUGGAUCGACACUUUCCGAGUUACGUUGUUCUUGGCAACAAUAUGCGCUUCAGUGUGAGCUUUUUCUUCUUUACUUCCAUUUUCUAGUAUUGGUAAUUUUUAUAGGCCUAUAUAGUAUAAUGCAAUUCCUGUAAUUUUUUUCUCUGUAGGGAGAAAGCCUUUCACAAGAAGCAUUGCCAGAUAAGAAGUUCUUUCCAAUUGUUGCUGCCAAAUCUGUUAAAGCUGCUUAUGCAUCAGAUAAAGACGCGUAAGCAUGGGAUAUCUAUGUUUUAUAACUUGUUCGCAAUUCCAAUGUGCGCUGUGGUUCCCUCAAAGAACUAAUGUGACUACAAUAUUUGGUAUCUGACGCGUCCUUGCAGUGAGCUUUGUAAGGCUGGAACACUAGAUCAUAGUAAAGCAAAGGGGAAGAUCUUGGUCUGCCUGCGGGGAGAUAAUGCAAGGGUUGACAAGGGCCAGCAGGCUGCUGCAGUUGGUGCCGUGGGAAUGGUUCUCACCAAUGAUAAACUUUCUGGGAAUGAAAUUAUUGCCGAUCCUCAUGUUCUUCCUGCAUCACAUAUCAAUUACACUGAUGGACUUGCUGUAUUCUCUUACAUCUAUUCUUCAAGGUAAGAAGACAUCCAAUCAGGAACUUAAACAAUCUCCAUAUUAGUUUGGUAGAAGAUCCAAGCACAGAAUACCAACUAAAAUUAGGAAAAUAAGCUAUUCCAAUGUAACAAUGAACUCUAAACCAAAUAAAGAUGGUUUUUUGUUUCCUUUUCUUUUUUACUUCAAUCAGAAGGUACAUAAUGUUGUUCAAAAGGCUGAAAGCCGGGAUCAUAUUUGUAGUUCACAUAUUCUUUGUUUCUCCAUUUUUUGUUUACUUUGCUGAAUGUUUUAGUAUCUUACAGAUCUCCAAAGGCUUACAUUACACAUCCAACAACUGAAUUAGGCACGAAGCCUGCCCCAUUUAUGGCAGCAUUUUCAUCCAAGGGACCUAACACUCUUACGCCAGAGCUUCUCAAGGUUAUUCUAGAUACUCGGAUGGCUUUUUCUUGUUCAUCUGAUUCUUGAAACUGUGAUAUGAUUUGCAACUCAUUUGUUCUUCACUUAACAAAGUUUCUUCUUUCUGCAACAUCAGCCUGAUAUCACGGCACCAGGAGUCAGUGUGAUUGCUGCUUUCACCGAAGCACAAGGGCCAACAAGUGAAGGUUUUGAUAAGCGUCGAGUUCUCUUUAAUUCAGAGUCAGGCACCUCAAUGUCAUGUCCUCAUGUUUCUGGCAUUGUUGGCCUCCUAAAAACUCUUCAUCCAGAUUGGAGUCCUGCCGCAAUCCAGUCUGCAAUCACGACAAGUGGUAAGACCUCAUCAAAUUAAAACUGCACUGCAAUACAUUCAGAGCAUGCACUUUCCAAGUACAUGCAUUUUAACAUUGCCGUCAAAUUCUAUCGUACAGCAAGAUCAAGGGAUAAUGCUUUUGAGCCAAUAAUAAAUGCAUCUUAUGUCAAGGCUUCACCAUUCAGCUAUGGAGCAGGACAUAUUUGGCCAAACCGUGCAGCGGAUCCUGGACUGGUUUAUGAUCGAACAGCCAAUGAUUACCUGACUUUUCUAUGUUCACUAGGCUACAACGAAAGCCAGAUUGCAUUGUUCACCCAAGCCCCCAAGAAAUGCCCCAAGCCAAUUAGUCUACUAGAUUUGAAUUACCCCUCAAUCACAGUUCCAAAACUUCGUGGUUCAAUCACAGUGACUAGAACUCUGAAGAAUGUAGGUGCUCCGGCAACUUACACUGCCAAAAUUGUCAGCCCUCCUGGAGUUUCGGUCGAUAUUCAACCAAAAUCACUUACAUUUGCAAGAAUUGGUGAAGAGAAAAGCUUCAAACUUACCCUGCAGUUAAAGAAACCAGGUGCAGCCAGAGAUUAUGUGUUUGGGAGGUUGGCAUGGUCUGAUGGGAAACACUUUGUAAGAAGUCCCAUAGUAGUUAAGGCAUCAUACUAAAGAUUUUCUCAAAUUCUUAAGAUACUCUUAUUCAUUUAGCCUACAUUUGAUUGAUCCGCCACUUUCGAACAGUUUUUUUCUUUAAAAUCAAAGAGAGAUAGAAUUAGAUGAUCGUUUCUGACCCUUGAUUUUUUUGCUAUUUCUUGCUUGAGGCAUAUGUGUAAGGACUUUGAUUUCAUUCAAUUGUUAAUAAUGUCAUGGUGAUUUGCAAUUUUACGAGGAUAUGAAGACCCAAGCCCUUAAAUGGUGUAAGCAAUUAAAUUUCUUUUCCUUUGUUCUUACUUUGUAGAUAAUAGAUGAGGCAGUCUCUCAAUUUUCACACAAGUAUUGGACGAAAAUUUGAGUGUUUUGGGCAGUGGAUUUCAACUGAAAAUCCAACAAAAUAAACCAUAUUCCCAAGCAUUCCUCUUGGUUCCACAACUUCGAAAAAGCUCCUCAAAUACUCUCGAUUGUCUUUUCAAAGGUGUUUGAGUUGGAACCACACGCCCCUAUAUUUGUAUCAAGAACUCUUAGUCUCAAAAGAUUUUUGUCACUUGCAGCCAGCAAAAGCAACGAAAUGUUGUAUUGCUUUGUACGAGGAAUACAAAAAAGGAAUAAAAUAAAAAUAAAAGAAGAAGAAAACUCUACAAAAUUUAGUACUUCAUUGGAUCCAACUAAAAGCAUCGAUUUCCAAGAAAUGGAUUUCUUUUCUGCUCGUACAACAAGAUACAAUUCGUGCGCCUUUUCAGUGAAAUUUUUCAACCGUGAUAUGAUUGUAAUUUUGUGCCUUAAACCGACUCGGUAACUUCUUCUUGGAGUGAAAUCACCAAAAGCAAAGCAAGCCUUCAUAUGGAGACCAAAGCCUCAUCUGGAACAGUUAGAUAUAUUCAGUGUCAAACCUCUUCUGAACUCUACAUACGGGUAUGCCAUUGGUUCUUCGCCAUCUUCUACACUCCACCUAUACAUAUCAAAACCACUUCGUAUACACUAUUAGGGAUUAAACUCACACAGAUAUGGUAAAAAAGAGGCCAAAAUUUUGCAUCUAUUGGGCUAAUACCUUUAAACAAAUGACAAAAUUAUGGGAGUGCAUUUCGUUUUCAUAAAAAAACUUGUAUGGAACUUUUGUUUUUCAACCCUCUAAUAUAUCGUGGAUGCUUAUGACACGUAGUGCAUGCAUGAUUUCGCAUCCGUAAAGAAAUAUAUGAAACUAAGAAAAAACUUGAAGUUAAACAAGUAAUAAUUGAUUAUUUAAAGAGUAAUCAUCCUUAGAUUAUUUCGAUUAUUUAAAGAGUAAUCACUUUUAGAUUAUAUACAGUGUCAGUGUAUAGAAAAUUAAUCCUUGUUUCAAAUAUAUACAAUUAAUUACCUGUAGUUUUGUAUAAGGUGGUGGAGGAAAAAUGCGACCUCAACUUUUCCAAGUUCAGAUCCGGGACAACAACGAGACCCCCCACCGAAGGGUGUAAAUUUCUUGCAUGUUUGAUCUUCAUCCUGGAAGGCAUGGCCACUCAUAAUUCUCAGUUCUCAGAUGUAUACAUGCCCUACAAAAGAAGAAGUUUUUUCUUUUUCUUUUUUGUGGGACAUGAACAGGACCAUUUUUUUAUUAUUGAGUCUUAAGAAAUAUAAUAUGGAGUAGCAAUUAAUUACCAGCCAUCUCCAAGGAUUAAAUUGGAAAGCGUUGGCAUGGAUUGAAGGGUCCAAGUGAACUGCGCUAAAAAUAGGUAGGACCUUCCAACCGGCUGGAAUUACAUAAUCUACAGAAACAAAUAUAUGAAAAAAGAGAGUUGAGUGCUGAAAGGAAAGCAUAUGCACAUUGCCAAUAGCUCAUGCAUGCAUAAUUGGGGGGAAAGGAAAAAGCAUUCUCUUGCUUUUGCAGCAGUUGUUUGUUUUUGUAUAUAGGUUCUGGACCAUUAGAAGUGAUCAAUACUGACCUUUGAACUUGACAUCUUUAAGAGCCUUUCGGUGGACAAAUUUCACAAUGUUUCCACUUCUCAGAGCUUCAUUAAUGACCUACAAUCAGUCAAAGUAAUUAAUAAUCUCAACAUAUAUAUAUAUAUUUCAUAGUAAGUAACUAUCAUGGUUUGGACACACUCUUUUUAUUUUUUUUUUCUCUUCUUUUUUUCCCUUAAAUAUGGUUUCCAGCUUCAAAGUGCAUUUUUCUUUAUAAUGAUCUGAAACUCAUUGUAAUUUUAGUCGGGCACAUUUGGUGUGCUUGUAUUUCUUUUAAUUUUUGAUGUACACUUUACAUAUGUAUUUUUCUUGCUUUUUGUGUACAUAAAUAAAAUCCACAAAAUGCAAAAUUCACGCGUACAAGAGAUAAAAUAAGUGUAUAUCAAAAUAUUUAACAAAUACAAUAUUGGUACAUAAUCUGAUCGCACCUGCCACAAUUAUACUUGCCCUGAUUCGAUACUAAUAUAUGCUCCAAUCUGUUUUCAUCUUUUUUUAGCAUUGUUUAAUAAAAAGGUGGCCUUUUCAAAACUGUUCAAGAAGUUAAAAGGGUUGUUAUGGAAGUUUUGAAGGGCAAAAACUAGUAUGGUAAAGCUAGAGGAAAAGGUAGUUUUACUUUUGUAGCUAGCUACAAACGCAUGUAAUGUAAAUAGUCAUCCAGAGCACAUAUAUAAGAGGCUAGAGCGCUUACGUGCUGAGUGAAAACCAUCUUCUUGUAGUCUUCCCAAUUCAGGUAUUCAUCUUUGUCCUUCACUUUCCUUAUGCCCUGGUGCUCUAGCUAUAUGUUUAAUCAUGAGAGCACAAAACUAAAAGCUAUAACCAUAAAAUGUCAAAUGCACGACAACUUUUAUUAAAGACAGGAGUACAAUAAAGUUAAUGCAUGACUUGUCAGUCAAUGCUACCUUUAAUUGUUCAAGUGCAACUUUGGAUUGUGCAAGGAAGUAAACCACCAUGGACGUUAGCAGGAAUGUAGUUUCAUAGCCGCCCAGUAGGGAAUCUAGGACAAAGCUAACUUUUUCAUCUUCAGAUAAGGUAUCAACACAAAGCAGUAUCUCAAGGAAAUCACUCCUUUUACUGCUACAAUUUUCAGCACCAGCAUUUCUCCUUCUUUCUUCUAUUAUUGUUUCGAUAGUUGAAGAGAUUCUACGUCUAGCCUGUAAAGAUGUCACCACAAAAAGGUUGAUCGCAUGUGCAUCUUUUCGCAACAAAAAGCAGAAAACCAAUAUUCAACUAAUAGUAGUAUUAAUUAACGAGAGAGGUUUUCUUUUGCUGUUAUUUGUUGGAUAGAGUAAAGAGAUCAAUGUUGAGGGAUGCGGAGAACCUGAACAGCUCUUGCAUAUGGAGUCCCCGGAAUAUACAGUGGAAACGAGAUCAGCCCUCUCAUGAAAGUAAGAAAAUCUUGCAGAAUCUGUGUAGUUCUUGGCUCAUCUGGUGUUAAACCGAGAACUUGCUUCACUAUUACAUUGAAUGCAAACUGUAAAGAAUACAUACAAAGGAAAGUAGCAAGAUUAGAUUCUCGAAAUUCCUUGGGGUCAAAAAAGGUGGUAGACUGAGCAAUUUCGACAGUGCGAGAUUGUUGAUAUGUACCUUUCUAGCUUCAUCACAGAAGAUGACCUGUUCUUUCUUUUGCCAUGAAUUGAGUACCUGAAUUGCUAUUCUCUCAGCAUCAUUGAGAAACUCAGGUUUGGAUUUGGUGGUGUUCACAAGUGAGAGGGCCACAUUCCUGAGCUUCUUGUGUGUGUCAUUGACAGCAACCAGCAUUGAUACCUUUCCAAGAAUACCGUGGAUGGGUUUUGGGUAGCUACACUGGAAUAAUUUAUCUUCAUUUUGUAGUACGAAAUAGUUGAGUUCUUGGUCACAUGAAACCACCGUGGGGGAGAAGAAUAAAUGGGAUGUAAAAACUUUCCCAUACCUAAAUAUUCCAAGACCAAUCCAACACAAAGUCACGUGUACAUAUAAUUAGGAUGAUGUAAUAACUCAUGAAUCAUGUUAUAAAGAUUCAAGAAUCAUGGUGAAGAUUGUGUUACUUACCUAGAACAGUGUUCUUGAAGAAAAGAUCCAAUUGAGUUGGAAGGAUGAGGCUUCAAAAAGGAAAGGGUUUCUCCAAGUAUUGGCCACCCAAAGGACCCUUGAGGGACAAGGCCUUGCUUCGAGAAUAAAGGCAAGAAAUGAUUCAAAAUUAUCCCAAACAGGACUCCCACCAAACCAAAUAGCAUGAUAAACCAAAACCAUCCUGCCAUGGAGAUCAACCUGACAAGUUUUGUGUUGAAAACCCACAAAUGACGACCUUUAUCUUAUACUACUUGUUGCACCAAACAUGGGCUAGCUCUCACUAUUAUAUAUAAUAUAAGGGAGAAGGAUAGAGCCACAAAGGUGAGAAUGUUCUCCCUCUCCCUCUCCCUCUCCCUCUUUUUCUUCUUUUAUUUUACUUCGCUUUCUUACAAUAAUAAAAGAAAGCAACUAGGCUUUUUACUGUCGGUGAAAUCAAUUUUGGUCAGAAGCAUAGGAAAUGUAAGAAGUAGUCCUGCUAGCCUAGGAUCUAGCUAACUAGGGUUGUACUUAUAAUGAUGCUAGGGGUGCAGGAUAUGGGAAGAGGGAAAGGACGUUUUAGUAGUCAUAUUUUAAUUAGUUCAAAUAUAAGUAAUCGUAUUAACAGAAAGAGAUAGGCUAACAAUAGAUUCACAUGCAAAAGUUCUUCAAGGAUGUUGUUCCUGAUAUCAGCCCAAGGCUUGAACUGUUAAACAAUGCUGACACUGCCUUAUCACCGCGCGCAUGCACACGGGCGGACUAUGCAUCUAUACAUAGAAGAAGUGCCAAUGAAAAACAGGAUAAUUGAAAAGAAAAGAUCAAGGAUACAAGAUUGUCUUGUUCAAUUAUAUACUAUAUGUAUGCUUAGAUAUCAAGAUUUGCUACUAGAGUCAAUAAUUUGUUUAGGGCUGAAUGUUUGGAAAUAUGACAACUUUUUCUCAGAAUCUAGCUAGUAAAAAAUAAUGUUAAUAAAUUCCUCGCUGCGCUCCUGCGAUAACUUCAGGGCCAGGCCUUCACCCUCGAGUAAGAGUCAAACUCUGCGACGCUCCCCGGGCCGAAUCCGGAUUAGUCCGAAAGGAAUACCAGAUGGUUAGACCCAAAAAAAAAAUAAUGUUAAUGACUUAACGCGUCAUCCCAAGUUUUCAUCAUUAGAAGAGCAGCAAAGGUGUAAGUUCGGAAGUGUCAUGCCUAUAUUCUGCAUCCAAAUUUACACUCAUGAAUCCAUAUAAUAUAGGUGUUAAUCAAAGUUUAGUUGGUCCCAUGAACACCCUGAAGUAGAUCAAAUAGUAGAUAACCACCAGACAAGAUGUGCCCUCAGUGCUGGUUACCCAUAAUAACUUGUCUGUAAUAUGGUCAAGUCUUGAUUAGAACCAACGUUAAUUGUCCAUCUUCGCAACAAUUUCAACCUUGCAUGCCCUUUCACUGUUUUCUAAAGAACCAAAUCGAUGUUCCAUCUUUAACACAAACUCUUACUUACCAAUUCAUUUUGUCGAAAAGAAAACCCUUAAUUUAUUUGAUUUCACUUUUUCACCAUCACAAGUGUUAAAUGGUGCGCUAACUUUAUUAGGAACAAGCAGACAAGCUUUCAAACUUUCAAUCUCUUUGCAUGGUUUUUUUGCAUUUCUUUUCUCCCAGUCGUGAUGUUUGUCUUCAAGUAGUUUUCAAAAUAUACAAACAAUAAUCAAGAAACUUUUCCAUUUUUAGUUCAGACACGUUGACAGUUGACUUGGCUAGUCCCAAUAAAAACUCUUGAGGAAAGGGAGACCAUCUUUUCUUUGUCAUUAGCAUACCUAUAUUUCUAACAAUCAACAUGUUAUCAAAUGUUUAAAUCCAUAACAUGGUCAAUCCAUUUCUCUUAAAUUAAGUUGCUGAUACUCAUAGUGGCUACAUGGGAUGUUUGUUGGUUUUAAAGGCUCUCCACUUGCCUGGCUUGAAUACCCUAGUGGCUUACCCUUCUCAAGUGGGUGGAAUUUUUUUAUUUUAAAAAUAAUUAACUUUUUAUACACUGACAGUGUAAUAAUUUUUUUUAUAUUAGCAGUUAUAUUGUAAAUAUAUGCUACAUGUAUAUGAUUUAAAUUUCAAAUUUGAAUUCAUAUUAUGUAGCAUGAUUUAAACCUACUAGUGUAUAAAAAUUUGUAUAUUGACAGUGUAUAAAAAACUUAAAGGGAUUUUUAUACUGAUCAUGCAAGUUAAUUUUAUAAAUAUUUAGGAAGAGAAAUUUCAUUUCUUACCAGGGGAGAAAGGGUUAAGAAAAAGUUUGAGAGUUAAAUUAAAACCUCAUAGUCACCACAUAUUCAUUUAAAGUUUUAAAAUAUCCAUAUAACUCUUUUAUAGUAUUAUUUAAAGUCAAAAAUAGAUAGAAGCAUCUCCAAUUACAAUGAUUGAUUAAGACAAGCUCUAAAAGUAGGUGUAAUGAAAUUAUAAUAUCCACUUAACCCUUCCUAUAUGUUGCAUAAAUAUUCACUCAAUCCUCAUGUAGUUUUCAUCUAUGUGAAUAAUUUUCCUAUGGUUUUAAACAAAUUGGUUAGACCCUUAUUAAAUUUAGUGCUUAAAUAAGAGCAAUACUGGCAUUUCGACCAACGACGGUAUAAGGACUAUUUUUAGUCCAAUUUUCACUUUAUAAAAUUACAAGAAGGUGAUGUUGAUAAAUUAAAAUCUUAGAGAGAUCAUGUGAAAUCCUACAUAAGCAGGGGAGGAUUAUAAGUGACAUACCCUCUUUCCUUCCAAGUGAUUUAAUUUUAGUAAAAUUCCAAGAAUAUGUGUAUCGAUAAGUUUUGAAGGAGCAACUUGAGAGUACAUAACCUCGAAAGAGAAGGGAAAUGGCUGUGUUGGGGGAUUCAAUGGAAAGAAGUAUGAGUGAGUCGAGUUUUCUCACUUACACUUUAAAAAAAAACGGAAAGAGAUGAGUUAUGCGUAAAAACUAGACCCUUGCACAUGCAUGAUUUAAUUAUGACGUUUUUCCUUUUUGAUCUAAUCUUUAUUGGAUGGAUUUUAUGUUGGCUCUUCAUAAAGCUAAAUGUUUUCAACUUUCAAAUAGUCAAAAGUGAAAAAAAAAAAAAAGACCUGUAUGUCGAAGUAAACAAACAAAGAAGAUCGCAGUAUUUUGUAUCGUAAUUAACCGGCUUAGGACCAAACUAUUGAGGGCAGUAAAGUUAGAAGCCUUAAUUGCGACUUUAAUUUUUUAAAACCAAAUGCUUUAUUAGAUAUUCCCAAAUGAAAUCAAAUAUUUUAGAUUUCACAUAUUUCACAUAUUAUUCCCAAAGAUUUCACAUAUAAAUCCACUUAGACUCCAAAACACAUUGAAGAAGAUAUUUUUUUCUUGAAAAGCAAAAAAGAUACCAAAAAAAGGUUUGGUUUCAAGUUGGCUAAACAAAAUUUGCAGGGGAAAGUAAAAAAAAAAAAAAAAAAAUAGGCAACAAGAUAGUAAAAUUUCUUUCCACUUAUUGAAAGUAAGAUUUCUUUAGACAAAGGCAAAAAGUAACACAUUCACUUUAUGACAAAAGAAUACUGAGUUUUCUUUUGGAACAAAAAGAGCAUAACAAAAUGAACAAAGGAGUAUCUUGUCUUUUCCAAUUAAAUCGUGUUCCCUUAAAACCCCCACCUCCGUUUUUCCCCGCCACCAAUCAUCAAUUCUUCUCAAAUGGUACUUGAUUAGUACUUGGCAUCCCACUCACAAGGCCGGUGGAAUGUGGAAAGGCUCAUUGCAGCUUCUUUUGACCAGAAAGAUGGAUAUAGAAAAAAAAUUCUUUCUCCCAAAAUAAACGGAAAGAAACAGUAAUAAAAUUCAUACUCAAAUGUUUUAGGAUGAAGGGGCUAGCAAAUCUUCUUUUGCCUACGUACUCAUUUCUUGUUCUUAUUUAAUUAAUCAUAGAUUAAAAGGUUCUUAAGUUUGCUUAGUUCUUUAGUUAUAUAGUGUUGCGUGCAUAAAAGAAAAUCGCUGCAGGCCUAUGGUAUUUUAUUGGUAGGCCAUCAAUGUAUUAUUAUCCCUAAAAACCCACGAUUUCAAGGGAUUUGCAAGGUAGUCAAGAUGCAUGAUUUUAAAAAUUCAAUGCCGAAAAAGUUCACUUUUGCGUGGAUCAUGUGUGCAUGUAGGUGGUGCAGGUUGGUAAGAUUAUUGUAUAUAACUCAUUAGAAUUUUUAUUUUUUUUUUUAAUUUCAUUUGUGUUGUUACAAAAACCAGCGAGUGUUUUUAGUGAUGAAAAAAAUUUUCAGAGAUUAGUCUAACAGUUCCCUUUUCCUUUAACAGUCUAGGAGAUGAAAGAAAAGGAAAUUAAAAAGGAAUGAAAAGCAAAAUUUUCUCAUGUAAGUUUUGGCUCUGUUUGGAUUGAAAAUUAUUUGAGAUAUUUUUACUAUAGCACUUUUUAUGAUAUGAUGUAUGUGAAAUAAAAAGUUAAUUAAAAAAAUAAAAAGAUAUGUUAAAAAUUAUAAUGAUGAUAUAAGUAAAUAAAUUUUGAUAAAUAAUCCUCUAUCCAAACAAACCCUUUGAACAAAGAGAAUAUUAGGGCGGUUCAUGGAGCAAAAUGUAUAGUGUACAGGGCGUGUGGAAUGGGGAUAAAGUAAGGAGAGCAGCAAGAAUUUUGGCUUGGGUACGGUUAUCAAGAAUUGGGAUAUCCCAGAUAAACCAGUCUACAAGGUCUUUGGAGAGCUGUUCAGCAACCUUUAUUGAAUCAUUAAUGGUCCAUAUCUUAAGAUAUAGUCACUAAAGUCCUUGGAUACGUGGGUAUUUACAAUGUAGCAUGGAAGCUGCGGAGGAGAGGCAUAUUUUUAAAGCGAAAAGUUUAAAAAAUUUGAGAAAUGUUUUGAAGUUAUUGUAAUAAAAGUUGUUAAAAAAAUAUGUAGCAAAUAAAUUUAACUAAAAAUUUACUUGCCAAACAAUGCCUAUAUUUUGGUCUACGUGUUCAUAUUCAUUUCAAUAGUUCAUUAUGAACAUUGUUGAGCACAUAAGCCACCCUCUGAUUAAUCACGCUGGGCAUUAGGCCCUGUUGGAAUUGGAAUUUCUAGGGGGUUUUUGUAAAAAUAAAAACGUGUACAGAAUUAAUGAUCAAAAUCUUUUAGUAUAUAAAAAAAAUUAUAUACUGACAUUUGCACCGUUUGACAAAUGAGUUUUUUGGGUGUUUGUCUAAAAUUUUACUGUAACUUACUGUAAAAGUUUUUUAAAAAAAUUUUGAAGUGUGUUUUUUUAAAAAAUAUUUUGAAGUGUAUAAUUUAAAAAUCAAACUUUAAGAAGUUUUUUUAAAUUAACUAAGGCCCUGUUUGGAAGCUUGAUUUUUUACCAAGUUUAUAUAAAACUAGUUUUUUAACAACUUUUACUACAGGAACCUCAAAAAACUUAUCAAAAGUUUUUAACUUACGCAUUUAAAAUAUUCAAAACACAACAAAAAAAAAUUCCCUUCCCCUUUUCUUCUUCUUCCUCCCCCACUACCACCUCCAUUGUCGGCUCCGUCACCAAUUUCCGGUGCCGGACAAGAAUUUUUUUUCCCCUUUUUUUCCCUCUCCCUCUCUUCCUCCCCUGGCAUCAUCCUCUCUUGUCUUUUUUUUUUUUUUCUCUCUACGUUCGGCGCAGAGGGGGGUGGCACAGAGGGGGGCGGCGAGGAGGGCAGAGGGGCAGCGAGGAGGGCAAAGGGGGGAAGGGGCGACGGGGGGAGGGGGAAGAGGCAGAGGGGGCGGCACAGAGGGGGAUGGCGGGGGAGAGAGGGAAGGCGGGAGAAGGGGGCGGCGCAGAGGGGGGCGGCGGGACAGAGGGUGGCGGAGGGGGGAGGGGGAAGGCGGGGCAGCGGGGAGGUGGAGUUGCUGUUAGGGGUGCGGAGGUGACGGAGAAGAAGAAGAAGAAAAAGAAAAAGAGAGGAAAGAAAAGAAAAAGGAAAGAAAGAAAAAGAAAGGGAAAGAGAAAAAAAAAAGGAAAAAAAAAGUUUUUUACCUUACAAAAAUUUCUACAAAAUUUUUUCAAAAACUUCUACAGUGUACUACAGUAAAAUUUUAGACAAACUCCCAAAAACCUCAUGUUCCAAACAGGCCGUAAAAUUUUUAAAAAAUUUAUUACAAAUAAAUUUCACAAAAAACUUGUCCGUCAAACAAGGUCUUAUAUAAAAAGAAAUUAUCGAUUCCUAUGUACAAAAUUAUAUAUACUUCUGGCGUACAAAAGUAGUCCUGGAAUAUCCUGCAGGUCGUUUGACCUGCCAGUCGCGUGUCUUAAAUGUCACUCGUUCAAAUAAAAAAUUCCAGGACAAGAUCCGAGCAUGGGGAUUCAUCCAGUCACAUCAUAUCAUAUCACGAAUCUUUGUUUCACAUAUUUGUAGGGAAGCGGAAGAGGUUUUAUUUAUUUAUUGCUGAUAUAUGGCACUCCAAUAGUAUUAGGGGUAAUUCUUAACUGUCAAAAUAUUCUUGCGGAUGAAAACUAAAAAACUAUCAAUUUCACUUGUUUCUACUAAUCAUUUUCACAUACAACUUCGCAUGCAAAUGAUACUUUGUCUGACUUACUUUUUGGUCAUUUCUACAAAUUUGUGAGUCUUGAUGCCCCAAAUUCACUAUAUAUAUAUAUAUAUAUAUAUAUUUGGAUUUUCCAUGAAUUCACUAAGUUAAUAAAAUUGAAGGCAUAUAGAAAUUUCCCAUUUAUAUAUAAGGGAUAAUUUCGCAAACCUUCCAUGAGAUAACAAUUUACUUCUAUUUGUACCAAUUUGUUGUCCUUUAUAUAAAUACUACUAGAGUAGCAAUCAAGACCAAAAUAAACCUAACAGGCAAAGUAUCAAUUGGGAGAGAUGUAAGUACAACAAAAAGAAGUUGCAGUAAAUAAAUAGUUUUACAAUUGUGCAGUGACUGGUACUCUAACAACUCUUGGAUUAUAAAUGUAGUAAGAUAAACAAAACAAGAAACACAAGUUUAAUGGCAAAAGGAGCAACUUAAAUCGGGAAUUACUAGUAUAAUAUAUUGUAACAAAUCAUAACAAGUUAUAAUAUUAAAAAAAAAACUCUUAUAAUUCGUCAACAUCACUUAAUACAAAGAAUUGAUAUUAUGGUUACGAUAGAAAUGCAACAAUCAAGAUUUCAGAUAGCGAAAAAAAUCCGGAUAAGCUAUAUUUGCUUCAGAUGUCCGUUGCAAUGCCCAUUUUCAUGUUGCUACAGUUAGGGGAAAAAAAAGUCAUCAUUAUAAAUGGUAGUUUUAUUAAUUAUUAUCCUAAUUUUUUUACUUUCCAAGUUUCUUUUAAUGUGCGAAUUUUAGUUAAUCAAUUAGGGAUUUUUAGUAGGGUAAUAUCAUCAACUUAUCACCAAUGCUGAAGACAUCUUAUCUUGUAAAACUUAAUAAUAGUAGUGUUUGGAUACCAAAAUUAUUCCAAAUAAUAUUUUGCUUGCAUCACAAACACAUUUCCCAACCUACCUUUUUAUAUUUUCAAUCACCUUUUUAUCUCACAUACAUCAUAUCACAAAAAGUGUUACAGUAAUUAUUUCAAAUAAUACACUAUCCAAACAAACCCGUCACGAGAGAUGCUUGAAAUUAUCCCUAUAUACUACACUCUUCUCCCUGGCUACGUUUCUUCUGCAACUUUUGAGUCUGUGUCGAUGGAGAAAUUGGGCACUGCAAUGGGCCAAAAGGGAACAGUAGUCAAAGCCUUAAAGAUGGAAACGUGAAGUUGGUCCAACUGACACACCCUCGUGCUGUCUCGACGAUCGUGUUCAAGAGAUGAUGAAAUGAUAGCAUCACUUUCAUUGGCAUCACAUUCCCCAUUCGGACAAAGGUUCAUCCGACAAUUCAAUAAUACUUGACUGGAUAUGACGCUGUUCUUCUUUUUCUUUUCUUUCUUUCCUUCUUUCUUGAAACUUUGGAUUCUCCAUUCUUCGAUCAAAUUUAUUUAAGAGCUUUUGCGUAUUUGCUAUUUCACAUUUACAUUUAUACAUCUUUACAAAUGAUAACUUUCACUUUUGAAAACAAAUUAACACCCAAACUCUCUUGCGCGCACUUGUGAGCUAAACCCUUUUAGUGUAAUGACUUAGGUACAAGUGUUGAGUUGUAGAUGAAAGAUAUUUGGUAUCGUUCUUCCCGUUGUACCUUGUCAAAUGAACGAUAAAGCUCUCCAACUUCACAAAAUAUGUUUAUGGGCUUGUCAAGAAUUCUGCUAUUAAUUCUAUUUUAUGCAAUCAUAUCCUGUACUUAAAACUUCCAAACUUCCGUAUCCAAGAGUGGGCACUAGAUAAAUCCUAUUCCGUGCAAUAACAUCUCAACCACACACGGAGGGUUAAGAUGUACUAGGCAAAUUCUGUACAAUGGAAUCCGAAUUGGUAGAAAAACGUAACAUCAACUCUAUCAUCUCGACUAACUCAAAGGACAUGCGUCCCUACCCUUACCUUCUUAAUAGCAUUUCCUUGCAAAAUCUCAGGACAUUUUUCUGUAAUUUUUCUUGGUUCUUAUGGGUUAAUGUCCUAAUGACACACAAUAAGAAGUACAUCCAAUGUUAAUUUUCUGUAGAGUAUUUAAACUUUUCCCACAAAAAUGUUGCAAUUCAUGGAAUAAAUUCCCCAAUUCAUGGCUGGUGGAUGAAUUCAAAACUUUGAUAGUUAGGCCAUUGUUUUCGGGUGUGCUUAUCGUGGGGCACCAAAAUUGAAAGAAACCUAACCAAUUUUGGACUACUCAUUUAAUAAGUUCCGACAACGCACUAGUACGUGAGAUCUAACAAAGUACUAGUAUCAUUUUUCAGAAGAAUAACUGGAGAGCACAUUAAUUGUUUGAAAAAUAUUUUUGACUGCACCAUAAUUAUGUUUUGGAAUCGCAUUUUGAUCGUUCAAAUCAUCUCUUUAUCUUACAUACAUCACAUCAUAAGAAUGUUACGCUGUGAUUCAAAAGAGAUAAUCGUAUUUAAAUCCAUUUUACAAUUCUCAAACAUCAAACCAACUGACCCAUUGGAAUUUGGUAAGGGUUUUGGACCAUUUGGUUAUGGAAAUUUUGGUUUUUUUUUUUGGGGAUGGGGGGGGGGUGGUUUUAGUACCUAGCUUGCAUAAAAUUUGUUUUUAUAUUGAAUUGAAUUGAUACUUUAAGUACUGGUAUCAUUCCCAGGUUUCCCAAUAGGUAAUGAUAAUCAUGAUGCGAUUCCAUUGAAAGAGAACAAUAAAAUGAUCAAAUUUGUUCCCUUCAAGGGAGUGAAGUCAAAAGUGGCCUGGGAUUCCAUUUGCGGUGACUUACAGGAAUUAAUAAAUCCUAUGACCAUAGGCAUGGAAUGCCAAUGGACCACAUUCAAAGUGUUCAUUAGUCCAGCUACGAAAUAAUAAUGGGGCAUAAAUACAUGAGCCAUAUAUAGAUAAUAAUAAUAAUAAUAGAUGGUCCUAAAAUUCUUUCUUCCGUUGUGGAUGCCAGACGGUUCAGCUACAAAUGUUUGAAUCAACCGUCAAACAAUCCAUCAUUGCUGCAAUUCCAACAUUCAUGCAAGUCAUUUGGAGAGGGAGCGCAGUUAAGUGACAGAUUUCGAGUUCGAAUUCUUCUAUUUAUAUUAAAAAAUUAUUUUUUAAAAAAUGCAAGUCAUUUCAUAAUUACUCAUGGCCAAUGCCAACUAAAUUAAUUAAGCCCCAACUGCUUAAUAUAAAUAUAUAUUGUAUGUUAUCUCAUACAAACUCCUUUUUCUGUGGAAUCUGCUUUAAUGCUGCGUGGUAGGUAAUAUGUUCAAUACAUGGUGGAAAUUGAAAAUAAAACGAGUAUUAUUAGAAUAGGAAAAUAAUUAAUUACACAACUACGACUAAGCGACGAUUAUUAUGAAUAUAUAAGAUUAGAUACUGGUUCCACUUUUCAUUUGCCUGUUUUUCCUAUAUGCUUAUAAGAUUAGAUAAUGCCGCCUUUGUUUGGAUUGUAAUUUUUUAUCAAAAAAAAUUUUAGAUUUUUCAUCAACGCAUUUUCGCAAUUUUCACCUAGUCGUGCCUAGUCAAAUUGUACGACAAUAAUUGAUGAUGAGAGUGGUACAAAGGACCACAUUAAUUUUUCUUCAUACAAUUACAGUCAAAAAUCCAAAAUAAUGUUCCAAAACUGAUAAGGUUACAUCAUUUUCACAAAGGAAAAUGGUGGCAUUGACGUCCGAAUGAAAUGAAAGUGAGAAUGUGAAUGAAUGCACGUGCAAGCAUGUGGUCCAAUACAGGGAAUCAAUCGCGAACCAUGGGACAAACUACCGAGACUGACUGGGCGUCAACUCUGUUCGAAUAGAUUGAUGGUUUGACGAUUAAAAGCUAGAAAAGGAAAGGAAGAGAAUCAAAGAAAAAGCCCUCUUGAGCCUUUCCCUCAAGCUCCGUUCGAAUCGAAGGAAAUUGUGAGGAAAAGUGAGGUAAAAGAAAAUGAAAAUGAAUUUCUCACACCGGCUUGGUUACUCAGGGUGCAUAUGAUAAAAUUUAAAUUUAAAAACUGAAGUUCGAAAUAUGAAAUUAAUACAUUUGAGUGUAUAUCACAUUUAAUGAUAAGUGAAUAGUUUAUCACUUAAUUUUAAAAAUAAGUUAUGCCUAAGAAAUUUAGUGACAUUUAAUUAAUUCACAUGUUCUAUUUUUUGGUUAUCAAACGAUCUGAAUAUAUUAAGAUAUCCGAAUUCAUUAAAUUGAAGUGCUAAAUUGUGUUAUGAAACCGGGUUUAGGGCAAGUAUCAUCAAAAGAAUAGAGGAAGUUAAUGAUAGUCAAUACUUGUUAUUGAAACUUUUGUAAGUAAUUAACUACUUUUCAUUUUGGGAUUCCACUAUACUUGAUUUUCAUUUUUACGCUUAAGGGGAAAAAAAGAAAAGAAAAGAAAAGGGAAACUCAACUAAAAAGUUGAAGUGGGGAGCAUAUUAUUUUCUCAGCCCAAUUGAAAUGCAGCGAGUAAGGAGGUAGAUUCAGCCUCAAAGUCUCUCGCCCAGUUCAACAUCAUGCAAAUUCGAAACCCAAAGCCCGUUCCAUUUCAAGUCAAUCCAGAUAAGCUCCAAAUUUUUGAGAAAACUCAUGUACAGAACUCGAGACUUGGAGCUCGUCCAACUCAACUCCUCUAAUAUUACGUCAAGUCAAACUCGAGCACGUAUUUCCCUAAUCUAUCAAGUUUGAUAUCAAUUAAACAUAUUCAAAUUCGAGUUCGAGCACGAUAAUUACACCCCUAUAACUAUUCAGAUUUUAGAACUUGGGUGAGGUUCACAAGGCUUUAUUGACUCUCUGUAAAUAUGUCUUUUCACAAAACUCGAGUUGAAACUCGUUCAACCACUAAUUUGAUUUCUCCUACGUUGAUUCUACUUUGUCAAGUUUGAUCUCAAAUAAACACAUUCAAAUCUCUCUUUCCCUUUUUUGCUUCUUGAAUUCCAUCUUCUUCCUAUUAAAAAUAAAAUACAUUCAAAUUCCGACUGAGUAUAGAUAGCAUUAUUCGCAUGCAACAAGGCUCAUUUGCACCCUUACAAGGCUAGAACCGCCCAGAUUGUAAAACUUGGGCCAGGCCUUCUUGACUCCCUGUAAACAGGCCCUCCCUAUAUUUUAGGAGGAUCCUUCGCUGUUUAGAACAUUGCCAGCAAAGCAGACCAUCCCAACCCGUUUUCUCCAAUCCGGAAACGUGCUUAAAAUGUAUAUUCAAUACCUUUCUAAGCAAUUUUUUUAACCUCUCUGUAUAAAAGAAAGAAGGGAAGAGGGAGAAGGAGGGGCGACCGCGUUUGAUCUUCACGACGUCGUUUAUCCUCUCUCGCUCCUCCUUUCUCCUUUCAAUUGAUUUGCCUCCUUAUAUGAUAGUAUAUAUAUAUAAAUUAAUUGGAUUAAGAUUUCUUAUUUGAUUAUAAGGAGAAUUCAUUUCCUGGAGAGAUCUCUUAUUUCUCGUCUCUUCCUUUCACGUUAAGUAUUCUGAGCAAGAAACCAUGUCGUACGCCUAUCUAUUCAAGUACAUCAUCAUCGGAGAUACUGGUAAAUUCCUGUCGUUUCAACCGCAAUAUUCAUUUGCCUGAUGUUUUUUCCAGCUUUUCUUUGGCGAAUUUUAUUGAAUUUUGUUAUGUUAGAUGUUUUGAUCAUGAGUUGAACCAAUUUCUCAUGCGAUUUGGUCAUGGAUGGUGUUAAUUUCAUUUUUUGAAGAAAUUAUUGCUAAAAUUUAAUUUCAAUGGCGGAUGUCUAGUAGCUUUUGUGGGAAUACAAUGGUAUUGCUGAAGCUAUUCGUGUUUAUUGUUUUGUUUUAAUUUACGGAACAGUAUUUGCUUUUCCUAAUUAGUAUUUCAAUCGCUGUGAAUUAAAGUUUAGCAAUUGAUUAUGGAUCUAGCUCGAUUUGUUGAUGUUAUUUGUUCUUUUGUCAUUCAACUCGGAUCCAUGGCAGUGUUGUUUGCAUCUGAUUUGCGGGUAUGAUAGGAGGACUAGACUUGUUCUUUUAUAGGCUGAAUUUAGGAGAGAUUUCUGGGUUAGAGCUGGUAAAGAGUUGUGGUCAUUUAUCUAGUCUGGUGGAGCAAGAGUUUCAGAAUGGCGAUUGUGUUUAAAGGUUACCAAAAAUGUCCAAGCCAUGGCAGUCUUAAGCCAUGUAAUUUUGGUAGGAUUUGAAGUAUCCAAUAGUUGAUGCUGGAAGUGUUUAAUAAUGGUUCGCAUAAGAUUAAAAAAAAAAAAGGAUUUUUUUGGAAAAGGUUAAGAAGCUAAGGUGAUUGUUGACACUUACCAUUGCUGUGUGCACAGAAUGGUAGGACAUUUAGUCAUUUUGUUGGCAAAAAAAAAAGUGAUUAUCAUGCUACUUCUAUCUCUGUCACACCAUAAGCUAAUUUUAUGAUUUUAGAGCAACCAUUUCUGGAAAUUCGGUAAUGGCUUAAACAUUUUGAUGUCGUGUAUAGCUGUAAAGAAUCGAGAUGAGAUUCUCCUCUCUUGUGUGGGCUUCAGUUCUGUGGAUUCUGAAAAGGUUAUGGUUUCUAAUUCCCAACGGCUUGUCCCUACUUAUGAUGGUACAGGUUUGAUGCAACUUUUGCAUUCACCUUUUGCUAUGGGUUUGGGGCACGUUUUUCAAUCUGUACGAGCUAGUAUAUCUGACGUUAUCACUUAUUAAAGCUCUUUUUUUUUUUUUUGGAAGCUACCAAAAGAACUUUUAAUCUUCCCUUUUUUAGAAAGAUCACUUUUAGAAAGAUUAGAUUGAAAGAUCACUUAUUAAAGCUCUUUUUUUUGGAAGCUACCAAAAAGAAUGUAAUCUCUUUAUAUAUAUAUAUAUAUAUAUAUAUAUAUAUAUUUCGCAGGGAGUAGACUGGUUGGUUGUAGGAUUUAGAGGAAUUAAUAAAUAGAAAUUAUUCUCAAAUGUGGUUCGGCUGAUGGUUUAGAAAGAAUUGGACUCUGAUUUCACCAAUCAUUUUUCACUAACUGAUGCGUGAGACAAUCUAGAUCAUCUGGUAAAACAUUUAAUAUUAUUCAGAACAUAAAAGGUUUAUGUCAUUUGAUUAUUUACAUCACUGGACAGAAUGAUGUCUAUUGGGUUGUCGUUACAUACUUGAACCUUAUGACAUGUUUGAUUUAUGGCCUACAUUUGUGUGGCAGGAGUCGGAAAGUCAUGUCUUCUGCUGCAGUUUACAGACAAAAGAUUUCAGCCUGUUCAUGACUUAACAAUUGGAGUUGAGUUUGGUGCCAGAAUGAUCACAAUUGACAACAAGCCAAUAAAACUACAGAUCUGGGACACGGUGUGUAAGAGCUAUUGAUGUUUCUCUUUGUUUUCUUUCUCAAUUUUCUUUUGUUAAUUUGAAUCAUCUCCUGAAAACUCCCAAGUUUAUAACUACUCAUGUUAUAACGCAGGUAAAUUUUCAAAACUAUAAAUAGAUACAAAAGGGAAUCAUUGAAUUUAAUUGACAAUUGCCUUUGCAUGAUAUUUUCUAUUGUCAGGCUGGUCAAGAAUCAUUCAGGUCGAUUACAAGGUCUUACUACAGAGGUGCUGCUGGGGCUCUGCUUGUUUAUGACAUUACACGGUAUACUUCUGUCUUGACAUUUUAAAGUCACCACUGAAGGCUGAUUCAGUAUUCCUCUUAAUGUUUGCCUUUUGACAUUAAAUGGGACCCAAGAGGAUUAUAAUAUGUUUUGAAUGAAAAGCAGCGCAAAUUAAACUGGUAGCCUUUUUAUGUGUUGAGUUUUAUAUUGUCCAGAUUUCACCAUAUGAUUCCAUGAGAUUGGCAUAUUGUCUAAGAAGGCAAUAUCUUGGACAAAGAGUCCAUUGUACUAAUGCUGGAUUGUAUUGGGUAACUUUAUAAGUGUUUAUUAAUGGAUAUGAAGAAAAAUAAGGAUCAUGUAGAGUUCCACAAAACUGGGCAGCAAAACUACUUUUAGUCAUAGUCAUAUCUAUGCAGGUAUAGAAUUUUCCCGUCCGUUUCUUAGAAAGAUUACAUUCUUUUAAACUUCACUGUUUGUUCUGAAUCUAUUCGAUGUUACCUUUUAAUUGAAGAUAUGAUUGUUUCUUCCGUUAUCUGGAUUCUUUUGUCUUGCUUGGAUCUUAUCAUCCUAGAAUUUUAAUUCCUGACGACAAAGAAUAAUUUGAUUUUUGAACUACUCAGGAGGGAAACUUUUAACCACCUUGCCAGUUGGUUGGAGGAUGCCAGGCAACAUGCAAAUGCUAACAUGACCAUAAUGCUCAUAGGCAAUAAAUGUGAUUUGUCUCAUAGAAGGGCCGUGAGCACUGAGGAGGGCGAGCAAUUUGCCAAAGAGAAUGGCUUGAUAUUCAUGGAGUGCUCUGCAAAAACUGCUCAGAAUGUUGAAGAGGUGCUUUAAAAUCUUUUUUAUCAGUAAUUAAUGACUCGCAAACAACUUUCUGAAGUAGGUGACAACCUAUGUUUUUAUAAUGAUUGGGUAUCCGCUCUUGUAUUUGUACUGAGAUUUUUACCCUUACCAGGCAUUUAUAAGCACUGCUUCAACCAUCUACAGGAAGAUUCAGGAUGGAGUUUUUGAUGUGUCAAAUGAGGUAUGCUAUUCCCUAUUUUUUUUUCCUGCAUAAUGCAUGGUGGAUCAAAUUUUUUACAGUGUCCAAUGUGCUUUCUGAUUAAAAAAUAAGGCUUAGGAUUCUAGUAGAAAGCAGUCAAUUGCUUAUUAAUGCACGAGUCGCGUAACCGGUUGGCAUCCCGAUAUAUAAAGCAAGAUGGAGAAGCUUUUGUACUUAGCAUAUUCAACUGAUGCAUUUUAUUUUUGGUGAAUGCUUAAUUAGCGUAAAUUCUUCCGCUUUGUGGUACACGAGUAGUAGAGGACCUUUUGAAAGCUACCAUUCGCGAGGCUCAGCUCCCUUGCUAUUCUUAUAUCAUCCUGUUUGAAGAUUUCCAGAGAUCUGAGUUAGAAGUUGAAUACAAAAAAAAUAAUUUCUUAUUUGUGGUGGUUGCUUUUCUCUGACCAUGGAACAUGGUUUUCUGCUUUAGGGAUACACCCCUAAUUUUUCUGGUUUUAUGGUUUCUUUUGCAGUCUUAUGGAAUCAAAGUCGGAUAUGGUGGCAUCCCAGGGCCAUCAGGAGGAAGAGAUGGCGCAGCUGCUCAAGGAGGUGGCUGUUGUAGUUGAAAAGGGAAAUGGUCACUAAUCAUGUUUUAUGGUUUUUUAUUGUUGGGUUUAUAGGUUCCAAAAGUUCAAUUGUCCGUCUGCUUACUUGCUGUUUUUCGUUUUUUUCUCUGGAAUUUGUUGUCUAAAUCUAUGAAAUAUGGGAAGAUAAUAAGUUUAAGGAAUUGGUUGGUAUAUAGGAAAUUGUUUGUUCUUGUGGAAAUUUAAGUCCCAACUUUGUAAAAGUGGAAGCUUAACUCAGUUGUGAAUAGAGUUAUGUUGUUUUCCAAAGCUUAUGUGUGAUUUCAUAUCCUGUUUCCCUGUAUCCGUCUCGGUUUAUCAUAUUAUGGUUGUCUGCUACUGGGACUAGUUAGUCGGAAUUCGCCGUAUCUGUGAAUUAACCAAUCAAGAAUUAAUAUUCAGGAAAGAAUUUCUGUGCCAAAGUGGAGUGCAGUAAUUUCGUAUUGAGUCGGUAUGUGCCCCGCCUGGAAUGUAUAAUUGGAAUGUUGAACAACAGCUUUGCUCCCAGAGAACUGAGCAAGAAAAUGGAUGCUGUGUUAGGAUAAUUUUUGAUAAAUGAAACACCUCACACAUACGGAUUAUGGAUGAUCGUUAGUGUGUAACUUCAUUGACUACGGACAGCCAUACGUUACUUAAUCAGGAGAAGCAUCGUAUUAAUGGAGUAACUGAGUAAUACUACUACUUGUAAUCUCAUUUUGCUAAUUUUGUUUUGAACAAAAAGGUCAACUGAAUUAGUGUGUAUUACUCUUUCUUGUCAGACUACAAGACACUGCAAUGAGUGCGUUUCUGGAAUCAUCUUACAGUUGUUGACCUAAGAGUUAAUUUGUCAUGAUUCAUUGAAUCUUUCGCUGGGAAAAAUGAUUCUUCUCCAAUGCAAAAUUAAAAAGCCCAGCGUUUAGCACGAGUAUUGAUGAGUUUCAUUUUUCAGAUCUCCCCUUCGUGUGAGCCACCUGAUAUUAUUGAAAAAAUAAAAAUAAAAGGAUGAAUUAAAAAAGGUUAAAAAAUUAUACCAACACAAUUAAAAUGUAAUAUCUGUCUAAUAAUAGAUUGAAAUAUGAUGGAAUGUGUAUAUCAUUCAAAAAUUGCCUUUUUUUGGAAGAUAGAUUCUAAAAAAAUAAUAGAAAUUUAUAUUAGAAAAUGAAUGAUAUAUGAAUAAAAAUGAAUGUAAUUAAAUGUUGUUAAAAUGAAAUACUUACAAAUAUUAUGCAUUCGAUUUGAUAAUCUUGCAUGAAGGUGCGAACAUCAAUCAACUUUUAGUACGAAUGCCAAAAUUGGUGAUUUAAUUAAUUCUAUUGAAUUUUGUGGAGUGCGUACUACAAAUGAAAAUGUACGAUCUUUAUAUGAAUUGAUUCGUUGGUUAAACAACCUAUCACCAUUGUCCUGAGAAAUUAAGUACGUGCGAAAUUCAAAAUUAGUGGAGCAACCUACCAUCGUUAUUAAAAAAAAUGAUAGGUGGUAACAAAUGGACAAAAUAAGAACAAAUCUUUUAAAUAUUCGGUAUUUUGAUGUGUUAUUAUUCUUUUGUAGUCGUGAUUUUUUAGAGUUGUAAGAUUAAAUAAUAUUAUUGAUUUGAAAAUGUUGUAUUGUUCGAUUUGCAAGUCUAUUUUGUAUUCAAGAUAUUUUAGAGUUGUAAAAUUAAACAAUAUUAUUAAUUUGAAAAAUAUUAUAAUUUAUGUUUUGCAAGUCUAUUUUAUGUUAAUGAUUUUUUAGAUUUGUAAGAUUAAAUGAUAUUAUUGAUUUGAUAAAUUUUGUAUUUUUUGAUUUGCAAGUCUAUUUCGUAUUAAUGAUUUGGUAGAGUUGUAAAAUUAAAUAAAAUUAUUCAAUUUAAAACUAUUAUUUUUUUGGAUUUGUCAAUCUAAAUAUUUUUCUUUUUCUUUUUCUUUUUCUUGGAAGAAGGAUAUAUUACCUUGUAAAUCUGACCCUAUGUUAUAGAUUAACCGGUCACUAAGUAACCAUUCGAAUUGAAGAAGGGUAUGAUUAGCUAAAUUAGAAAUGAAUUGAUUAUUUGAUCCAUGAGCACACUUAAUUUGUGUACUUAAGAUCAUAUUUAAAAAAAUAUUAAAUAUAAUUACAUGAGAAAGGUAUGAGAACAUUACCAAUUUGUUCUGCUGUAACUAUGUUAGCAGGCACAGCGUGCCAGUGGCAUCUAGACCUAAUUUUUUUGGGAUCAAAAUCUAGUCCUAAUUGGUUCUACUGUUUCUUGAUAAUGUUGUAUGCUUCCGAAUUAAAAUUGUAUUAAAAUAGCAUGUGAAUGAGCAUUUGUCUUUAAUUAAGCAGUAAAAAGGAUUUAAAGUAUAAAUAACAAACUAUAAACGGUUUAUGAAGUAGAUAGUGAGAAUGUUUUAAAUUUUAAAUUUGAUUAGUGAUAGGGUUGGUUAUAACCUACUACUUUUUAUGUAUUAAAAUAAAUAAAAAAUAUAGAAAAAAGAAUGAGAAAUUUGGAAGCUAUUGAGAGAGUCUCUGCUAAAAACUCCUUACUUUUUUUGUAUUAAAAUAAAUAUAAAAAUCUAUAACCCACUACUUGUUCCGUUUUUGAGAUUUUUUUAGGGUUAAAUAUAGUAAGCCCAUUAAUUUUACAUUUAGCUGCACUUUACCCCCUCAACUUUACAUUUAGUUGCACAUUUGUGAUUUUUUUGAAACGUGAUUGUAAUUUGCAAAGUUCAUUUGUAGGGAUAGUUAUAGGGUUAGUUUGGUGAUAAAUAUUUCUUAAUUAUAAAAAUGUAACAUUGUAUUAAAAUUGCAUACAAAUGAACAUUUGUCUUUAAUUAAGGAAUAAAAAGGAUUUAAAGUAUAACUAACAAACUAUAAAUAGUUUAUGAAGUAGAUAGUAGGAAUGUUUUAAAUUUUAAAUUUGAUUAGUGAUAGGGUUGAUUAUAACCCACUACUUUUUAUGUAUUAAAAUAAAUACAAAAAUUUAGAAAAAAGAAUGAGAAGUUUGGAAGUUAUUGAGAUAGUCUCUGCUAAAAACCCCUUCUGCAAUAUAUAUAAAUAUAGAUCCUACAAUAUGAAUCAAGUUUUUUUUUUUUUUUUUUUGUUUUAGGUGUGUUCCGCAGGGAGUGGACCCCGCAGACUAUUCACCACCCUCAGCAACUUGCUGGCAGCAAGGUUCGAACCAGGGACCUGAGACUCCAUCUUCAACAAUUUCAACCACCAAACCAAGCCCCUGAGGGCAUAUGAAUCAAGUUACUGUCAAACAGUGUUAACAAAAUUUUGAUAAGUGCAAAUCUAAAUUCUCUAAAAAUAAAAAGUUUAAAAGAUGUCGAGAUUUGUUAACUAACUGAUACGAACGUCGCCAACCUUGUGAUGAAACCCGUAAAAGAUUAGCUUCAGGAUCAACAAGAGGACACCAAGUUUGAAGCGGAUGACCUCAACCCGUUAAUCACGUGGUUAACGAACCUUGGUAUAAUGGUAGAAGACGCCACAACCUAGUGCGAUUCUAGAUUGAUAAGUCACGAACACAAUCACGUGGUUAACGAACCUUGGUAUAAUGGUAGAAGACGCCACAACCUAGUGCGAUUCUAGAUUGAUAAGUACGACAUUGAUAAGUCACGAACACCUAGAGAAAUUCUAAGGUAUUCAAGAAGCCUUGGAGAAACCAAGAAAACUCUCAAAAUCUGAUUUAUUGAUUGAAUGCCUAAACCAUUGGAAGUGUGGGCUAUUUAUAGCCUUACAUAGAGAUGAACAACUAAAUGUGGAACUAGUCUAGAGUUGUGGUCUUGACUAAGACUAACAAUUGUAGGCUUGACUAUUCCAUAAGACUAAGAAUUGUGGGUUUGACCAAAUCUUAUGAGGUCAUCCCUUAGGUAAACAACCUUAUGAGAUCAUUGUUUAGGUAAAUAACCUUAUGAGAUCAUCGCUUAGGUAAAUAAAGCAAGGCUAUGGACCAUUAAACCCUUAUUACAAUGACUUAACUAAAACAGCAAAUGUGACUAGAGAAGGGUCAUACAUGAUUCUCUUUGGCGUGCACUACAUGGAUGACUUUUAUUCCUUCAUGCUCAAGCCCCUCAAUGACCUUGGGGACAAUUUCUUGGCCUUGUAUUUCAUGAACAAGUCCUUGGAGUUCCUUCCUCAUCUUGUUAGCUCGUGCUCGAGUUACGGGUCCUAGGGAAACUCGAAUAGUUCGCACUGGUGUCUCUUGGUUCGUAUCAUCCCCCUCCUCUUCAAAAGGAUUUGUCCUCAAAUCAGCUUCAUCGUCUGCUCGUGUAAUUUCUUGACAAAAUCUGCUCGUUUAGCACCAUCCAUGUUAAUGUGCUCAGAAGAAGGUAAAGGUGAUAAGUCUAGUGGUGUUAAAGGAUUAAAACCAUAGACUAUUUCAAAUGGUGAAAAAUGAGUAGAACUAUGCACCGUGCGAUUGUAUGCAAACUCAACAUGGGGUAAACACUCUUCCCAGGUUCUAAUGUUUUUUCUAAUGAUGGCACGCAAGAGUGUAGAUAGUGUACGAUUGACAACCUCAGUUUGGCCAUCAGUUUGUGGGUGACUAGUAGUAGAAAAUAGCAAUUUGGUACCAAAUUUUCCCCACAAAGUUUUUCAAAAGUAACUCAAAAAUUUGACAUCCCUAUCAGAGACAAUUGUCCUAGGCAUGCCAUGCAAUCUAAUGAUUUCUUUGAAAAACAAAUCAGCAAUGUGCGAUGCAUCAUCUGUUUUGUGACAUGGUAUAAAAUGUGCCAUUUUUGAAAAUCUGUCAACAAUAACAAAGAUGCUAUUAUUUCCCCUCUUUGACCUAGGCAACCCUAAAACAAAAUCCAUGGAAAUGUCGGUCCAAGGUUCCUUAGGUACAGGUAAAGGACUAUAAAGGCCAUAGGGUUGAAGUUUAGACUUAGCUUUGUGGCAAGUAAUGCAUUUAGCCACCAUUCGCUCCACAUCUCGUUUCAUCCUUGGCCAAUGGAAGUGCUCUUGAAGGAUAGCUAAGGUUUUAAUCAAGCCACCUCCGUGUGCUUCCCUCACCCACCGUGCUUGGAGUAGGCCAUUCUCGAAUUGCUUUAACCUUCUCCUCGUCCACUUUGAUUCCCUGUUUACUCACAACAAAGCCUAGGAAGACAAGUUGAUCAGUACAAAAGGAGCACUUCUUAAGGUUAGUAUAGAGCUUUUCUCUUCGAAGUACAUCAAGAACAAGUUUCACAUGUUCAACAUGCUCAUCUAAGCUCCUACUAUAAAUCAGGAUAUCGUCAAAAUAUACAACUACAAAUUUUCCAAGGAAUGGACGAAGUACGUGGUUCAUCAACCUCAUGAACAUACUAGGUGCAUUAGUUAGUCCAAAUGGCAUAACUAACCACUCGUACAAGCCAUGUUUGGUUUUAAAGGCCGUUUUCCAUUCAUCCCCCUCUUUUAAGAGGCGUUUUCCAUUUGCAUCCCGCCUCUGUCAAUCCUAAUUGGAAGUGAAUAAACCGCUUUUUGAUCAAAUUUAGUGAAAAUCAACAGACCAUAUAAGCUCAUCUAACAUAUCAUCAAGUCUAGGAAAGGGUUGAUCAUAUUUUUAACGUAUGCAUUAACGGCCCUACAGUCAGUGCAGCAUUCGCCAACUUCCAUCCUUUUUAGGCACGCAAGAUGAACGGGAACCGCACAUGGCUCAAGCUUUCUCGGCCCAUCCCUUGUUAGAAACUCUUCGAUUUGGCGUUGGAGCUCUUUGUCUCAUCUGGACCAUUUUGUAGGCUGGUCUGCUUAGAAGUGGGGCACCUGGAACAAGUCAAUUUUGAUGCUCGAAUAUCCCGACUGUAUUGGUGGUAGUCCAUUAUGAAUCUCAUCGGGAAAGACAUCCUCAUAAUCCGCAAAAGAGAAGACAAUACUAGAUGGUAGAGUGUUAGUAAGAUCACUUGUAACAACCAACACCUCUUUGCACAAAAGUACAUAGAUGGGUGUAUUAACACUCAAAGCUUUUCUUACUACAUUGGCUUUUAUCAAUAGACUUUGCCUUUUCUCUCUCUUUUCAAUUUUGGCCGGCUCACUAUAUGUCUUUUUCCUCUCAAUUUUCUCAGCCUUAUCAUUUCCUGUUGAGCUCUCGAUUUUUUCUAUUUUUUUCUUCUCAUUCUCAAGCUCGCUCUCCUUGUUCAGGCUUUCUUGAUCUUCACGAACUUGGAUAGGAGUGAGUGGCACAAGCACAAUCCUCUUCUCGCCUUGCUUGAAGGAGUAUUUAUUGGUAAUGCCAUCGAAUGUAACUCCCUUGUCAAAUUGCCAUGGUCUCCCCAAUAGUAUGUGACAUGCUUGCAUAGGGACCACGUCGCAUAACACCACGUCCUCAUACUUUCCAAUUCGAAAAGGUACUUGGACUUGCUUGGUCACACGAACAUCCCCACUAUCAUUCAACCAUUGCAAACGAUAAGGUGUUGGAUGUCGUAGAGUGGGUAGUGCUAGUUUCUCCACCAUCAAGGCACUAGCGACGUUAGCACAACUACCUCCAUCUAUGAUCAAACUACAUACCUUGCCUUUGAUAUAGCAACGGGUGUAGAAAAUGUUCUCCCUUUGUACAUGGUCGGCAGCUUUCACUUGGGUUGCUAAGGCUCGUCUGACAACGAGUCCAACUCGUUCAUCGACGGGUAAUGCUUCCUCUUCUUCCUCAAGGGAUGGCAACUCUAUCCUUCUCAUUCUCAAUCAUCGUGAAAAACUCCAGCGUCAUUGGGAUAAAGAUGAUCAUAGUGCGUUGGUUCGGGCACUUGGCUGAGCAAUAUGCCCUCGGCUUGGCAUUUGAAAGCAUCUAGUAUCUCGAUUUCGCUCCAUGCUCGACUCAAUGGCAAGUCCUUGUGUUGCGUAGACUCCGCAUUAAGUCAUAUCCCGGCCUUGGGUCUUGUAAGGGAUGGAAAUUACUUACUCAGGCCCUUUAUCCUCUUUCUUUGGUGUGUAAGUUCGGAGACUUAAGAAGGGUGAAAGUUGGAGUAACUCCGAGUCGAACCCCUCCUCUUAAUCCUCCUUUCAAUCUUGAUGGCCUUUUCCACCAAAUCCCCAAGUUCCACAUAGUGGUGUAACUCUACUUGGUCAGCGAUUUCGGGCCUUAGUCCUUUCAAGAAGCGUGCCAUUGUUGCUUCUCGAUCCUCCAUGAUGUCUGCCCGUAGCAUGAGUAUUUCCAUUUCUUUGUGAUAGUCCUCGACACUUUGUGCUCCUUGGUUGAGGCUUUGAAGCUUUUGGUACAAGUCACGGUAGUAGUGACUAGGUACGAAACGCUUCCUCAUUAGUCGUCUUAGCUCUGUCCAAGUUUGUAUGGUAGGUUCACGACUCCUCCUUCGACUAGUGGAGAGUUGAUCCCACCAACAAACGGCUGUAGUCCGGUGAAUUCGACCACGGCCUAACUUGACCUUUUGCGCUCUUCCGAGUAAAGAUUGCAUCGAAAAACAAGUUCAAUCCGCUGUCUCCCACUCUAAGUAGGCAUCAAGGGGUCUGAUGUCCUUGAAGGCGGAAAUUUCAGUCUUUAUGCCCGAAUGUGGUCAUGUAUGAAGGGCCUAAGGCCAUCAACGCUUGACGUACUUUGCCUUAUGCUCAUUAGUUGUUGUCUCGAGUUAGAGUCGCUAGGACUCAUGUGCAUAAGGCGCUUUACACGGCUGGCCUUGGAGCUUCCAUGAGACAACUCUAAGCUGUCAAUGCGUUGGUGCAUCAGUUCAAGUUUUUGGUCCAUCAUGCGUCCCAAUUCGCCUUUGAUUGCUUCUGUGAAAAGUUUAAGAUCAAAAGCUUGGGAGCUUGCUCCCUCCUCGUUAGCCAUGGUAGGGUAAAAAAAAAUAAUAAUGGAAAGAAGCAAAGUUUAUCUCGCACACUUCCUCACGUGUUUACUCUCGCUCUCGUGUUUGAACACUCUAAGAACUCACCAAGGUAUUUUCAAGGCUCCUCGGUCAACUCCUCGAAGAAGUUAGAACUCCUUCUAGUGUGGAUCGACUUACCAACCAGGGUCACAAGAUGCACUUUGAACGAAAAAAGAACAAAAGAUGAAGGGACUGACCACGACUCAAUGAAUGACUCAAAGUUGAAUUUUAAGGAUCCUAGACAAAAACUCUACCCAAAACUGGAAUUUUGAGCUGCUGGUUGCUGCAUUUCUGGGCAGUGUUUUGGUAGAUAAAUGGACACUUAGAAGAUUCAGAAUGACACUUAAAACUAACCUAAUGAUGCACGAAAAUUUCCAGAAUUAAUGAUUGGACAGAAAUUCCCCAAUGGUUGCAAAGAUGGAAUCCGAAUGGAAAAUGAAUUUGUGUUGUGGUAGGACUGUUUUGGAAACCCAAGGCUGACUUUUCUUCUUUAAUCCUUUGGAAACAAGGAUUAGUCUUCCUAUUUGCUGGUUCCCAUAAAUUCUAAGGUCAAGUUCAAGAUUGGAACUGAUUUGGUUGUUUUUGGGAACAAGGGUGGAAAAUUUGACUUGAACAGGUUAGAAAAUUUGACUUGAAUAGGUUGGGAAAUUUGACUUGAAUAGGCUGAAUAUUCUUUUUCUUCCUUUGUUUUUGUUUUCUAAUCAGCCAAGAAGAGCCAAAUUUCGUGGCUAAAAUGUUCUUAGUCAAGAAAGAAGAUUAUUGUGGUGAAGACAAGGAUUUUGGCACCUGAAAAUUUGCAGCCUUGUUGUUUACCAAGAUUUGGUUCCCAAAACCCAGAAACUUCAAGAUUCUUUCAAGAAUUCAAGAUGUUAAUUCCCAGAAUUCAAGAAACACAAAAUUGAAGAUGAUUUCCUCCCUAAACAAUCCAAGAUUUCACGAUUUGAUCAAGACAGAUUUUGGUUGGCGUCAAGAAUCCCAACUAAAGUUCCAAGAACUUCAAGAUUGUGGUUUUAAACAAUCAGGAACUUCAAAAAAAAACCCAAGUUUUGAUCAAGACAGAUUUCCAGGAAUUUUUGUAAAGUUAGCCAGCUAUUUUUUUUUUGUAUGUAAACAAGAACACAAGGUAAUAACUAGAUAGGACUCUAAAACCCUUGCUACAAACUGAUUUUUUUCGGAUGAACAGUAACCUCGAAUGAUCAAAUAGAACAAAAGACUGGAAUUGAAUGGAUAUAACAGGAUAGAAACAAGACUCAAACAAAGAAUCAAGAAUAAGACACAAAAAAAAGGCUGGACCAAACCAGGCUAACCACAGCAAUUAACAACAACUAGACACAAGUUCAUGUCGUAACAAAUCUGGAAAAAUAACGCAAGAACACGAAGUAACAAAUCUGGAAAUUGCGGAUAGCAACUUAGAACACGAAAACAGAAUUUUCGACAACUUGACUCGAAAAGCAAAUAAAAAAAAGGAUAUAACGUGAUACCUCUUAAUUAGCUCUGAUUACCAACUGAUACGAACGUCGCCAAUCUUGUGACGAAACCCGUAAAAGAUUAGCUUCAGGAUCGACAAGAGCACACCAAGUUUGAAGCGGAUGACCUCAACCCGUUAAUCACGUGGUUAACGAACCUUGGUAUAAUGGUAGAAGACGCCACAACCUAAUGCGAUUCUAGAUUGAUAAGUCACGAACAUCUAGAGAAAUUCUAAGGUAUUCAAGAAGCCUUGGAGAAACCAAAAAAACUCUCAAAAUCUGAUUUAUUGAUUGAAUGCCUAAACCAUUGGAAGUGUGGGCUAUUUAUAGCCUUACAUAGAGAUAAACAACUAAAUGUGGAACUAGUCUAGAGUUGUGGUCUUGACUAAGACUAACAAUUGUAGACUUGACUAUUCCAUAAGACUAAGAAUUGUGGGUUUGACCAAACCUUAUGAGGUCAUCCCUUAGGUAAACAACCUUAUGAGGUCAUUGCUUAGGUAAAUAACCUUAUGAGAUCAUCGCUUAGGUAAAUAAAGCAAGGUUAUGGACCAUUAAGCCCUUAUUACAAUGACUUAACUAAAACAGCAAAUGUGACUAGAGAAGGGUCACACAUGGUUUCUCUUUGGCGUGCACUACAUGGAUGACUUUCAUUCCUUCAUGCUCAAGCCCCUCAAUGACCUUGGGGACAAUUUCUUGGCCUUGUAUCUCAUGAACAAGUCCUUGGAGUUCCUUCCUCAUCUUGUUAGCUCGUGCUCGAGUUACGGGUCCUAGGGGAACUCGAAUAGUUCGCACUGGUGUCUCUUGGUUCGUAUCACUAACCUUUUGUCAACCAAUAGUAUCUCCCGAUCAAUUUUGUUAUCAGUAGAUAUCUGAUAGUAUGGACCAACAGAUAUAACUAAACCAAUUAUAUCUGUAAUAAAAUAAAAAAAUUUUAAUUAAUAGCAAUUGAUUUGCAGAAAUAUAAUAAAAAUGAUAUUAAUUGUGAGGACGUACCUAUCAAUUGCAGAUCGUUAUCCAUGUACUGUUUUAUAUGUCUCAAUUUGACCAAAUUGAACUUCAAACGGGGGAUGGUUGCACAAUCAUCUAAAUUUUUUACUAUUUUUGUAUCAUUCUCAAAUGACAAUUGGAACUGAUGUGGUGCAAUCCGGUACUUGGCAUCUGCUGGGAUUACAUGUAUAUUCUGAAACAAAAUUGGUGAGACAUGAUAAGUCACUUAACUCUCUGCUAAAAAUCUCUUCUGCAAUACAUAUAGAUAUAGAUAUUCCCUCGAUUAUAUUGAAUGUAUCGUACAUUUCAUCUUGUGAUGUUUCAAAAUAUUUAUACUUUUGAACUAUUUUUUUAAUGUUAUCUGCAUAUUUAUCUAUUUUUAUACUAAAUUCAAAUUUAAAUAUUUAAAAUUUUGAAAGUAAUUUUAUAAAUAAAUUCACUAACAUCGCCAUCAACGCACUACUUUCAAUCAAGUUGAAACCUCCAAAUGCGACGAAUAAUUUGGGACAGAGAGUUACAAUAAUAAUAAUAAUAAUAAUAAUAAUAAUAAUAACAGUCAAAACACUCUGAUUAUUCCAUACAGAAUACGACAUUCCAAUCCACCAAGCUCUCAGUGAUAAGUUUUGUUAAUGGUAAUAGCUGUACUUGAUUGGCUUUCUUGAAUUUAGAUCUUUCGAAGUUGACGCAUGUCUCCAACCGCAAACGUAAAUUUCAGAGAACUCCAGAAUCCAAAAAAUAAUUAAUUAUAGUUUCAUCACUUCAAGUUUGACAGCGGAAGUACGGGAUAGUCUAUUUUCCAAAUUAAAAAAAAAUUAGCAACGGUGGAAAAGCAGCCAGUCACACAUCUCUUCACGUGUCCCCUGUGAGAUUAUCAAAAUCCCCUAAACGACAUCCCCAGAUUUUUUUCCCAUAAAAAGGAACAGUUAAUAUAGAACUUUCCCCAAACUACCCUCCCUCACAUUACACCCAAAUGAGCUGAACGUUACAACUUAUAACAGCAUGCUUAUCAAGAAUUGGUUUUGAGCUGUAACAAGUUUAAAUUUUGUAUCUAAACUGAUUGUAGUAUCAACCUAAUAAUAAAUUUGUUUGAUAAGGGUGUUAACCCACUGAAGUUUUUAGAAAAAAAAAGGUCUUAAAUGUAAAGUUUUUCUAAUAAUUAUAAGUGAAUCUCCAGCAAAUGUGGGAAAAAAAGUAUAAUAUAUCAUUUGAAUUUAAUCUAAUUAGCUUGAACUAAUUAUAAUCAAUAGACUCGAAGUUUAGAGCAUGUAUGGUUAAAAAUUUUGUAAAUAUUAUUUUUUUAAAAUAAUACAAUGUGUAUAUAUUCAUAUAAUUUUAUUGUACGCAUACAUUUUGCUAUUCAAAAACUAGUUUUUCAAAUACUAUAAAUUUUUUUUAAAAGUACUCUAAAAAGUAGUCUAAUUUUUUUAAUAUUCAAAAAAUAUCCCAAAAUAUAAUUUAAAAACUCUACUACUGUUAAAUAUUCCAAAAUAUUUUCUCAAAAUAUCCCAAAAUAUACUCUAAAAACUUUGCUAUAGUAAAAUUUAUCAAAACAUCCCAAAAAACAGCUAAUCCAAACGGAGCCACAAUAACUUUAUAAACGAGAAUGGUACAAUAUAUUAAGGGUUUAUUAUAUUAACUUUUACUCUCUCUGUCCCCAUUGUUACUACAAUGUUCUUAUUUUUUGGACGUCCCAAAAUAAGGGUUAUUAUUUAAAAGUCAACACAAUAUUUUAUUAAUCUUCCUGUUGCAUCAUUUGAAAAAAUAUUUUUUCUCACCUAUCAAUGCAUUUCUCGUAUUUUUCAAAUUUUGAAUUUGAACAUAACAUUGUAAAAUCACUCAAUUCCAACAUAUUAACAUACAAAUAUACAAUGAUUACAUAUUCUCUUAAAUAGUUGAUUGUCAAAAAAUGAUUUAAAUUAUGGGACGAAAGGAGUAACAAAAAUAAGGGCUAUAGUGAACUACAAUUCUCCCUUGUUAUAAAAUUACUCAAAUCCAACUUAUUCACUUACAAAUAUACAAUGAUUGCAUGUUAUCUUUCAAAAAACGACUUGAAUUGUGGGACAGAAGGAAUAAUAGAAAUAAGUGCCAUAAUGAAUUUAGAAUUCUCCCUGACAAAUACCUCCUCUCAAUCCGGAUGCUCUUGUUAAGCUUUGGCUCUAUUGGCUUACUUGGCCAGCUUGGCUGGAGUGGGAGUUUUUUUGCCAAAAUAACACUCUUACUAAAAAAUAUUUCCAAUGUGAUUCACUUUCAAAUUUUAUUACUAUAAUGAUAUUAUUGUUCCCAUCUAGUUAUCCUGAUUGUUAUGUAGGAUAACAAGAAAGGAAAGUUCUAAUCCAGUUUAUAGUUUCAAACAUUAACUAAAAUUUUAAUUUUUUUUAUUAUAGAGGCACAAGAAGCAUAACUUUUAUAAUUUCCUUAUAAUUAUUUAAAAUAAAAUUUACCAUUAUUGACCUUACUAUUAUUGGUCUCCGAAUUUUUUUAAAUGUAUCAAACCUAUUGCAUAUAUUUUUUCAAAAAAUAAUUUUAAAAAUACAAAAAUUGCAACGAAAAUUGUAAGCAAUUGCAAAAAUUUCAAGGUUAUCAUAUUUGUUUAUAUUAUCUUUCCUACUCUUUGAAAAGACGAGAAUAAUCUUCAUUUACCUUAAGAUUAUCGACUUGCGAAACAUAUUUUUUAGAUGCUGUUAAUAUAAAGAUUGGCUUCUUGGAUUAUGUUUGACAAGGGAAGGACAACGAAAGAAAAAAAAUGUGGGAAGAUUUAUAAAGAAAAUUGGAGAAAAUAUUAGAUGAGAAAGAGAAAUGGAGGGUCUUUAUUUCUAUCCUGACACAUAUGCAGCCUAAGUGGCAAAAAAGGAUCACAAAGGUAAUAAAUUUUAAAAUUAAGUUACUUUGAGUAUAUAUUUUGGAAGAAGGGUUAUUUUGGCAAUAAACUCGCUGGAGUGGUGCCGCAAAUGAGUGCACACUCGUAAUUUCUCGCAUACCCAGUGUCAAACUCGUACUCCACUUCCGUAUACAUAUAGAGUCCUCCCACUGCGUUACUUCCAUCUCAGUCCAAAGCACUCCAAUCUCAGUCACUACUACACUGAACCGCGAGCAGGAGUUUGAGUGGUGACGAAACAAUCACAGAAUUAUCUUUCCUUUAAUGGCUGCCGUUGGAUCAUCCGUGAGGAUUUCUCCUUAUUACAAUCAUAAAAACUGUAAUGCUGGAACUGACGGCGAUUUUUCCCGGCGGCUGUCAUUCUCGUCCGUGUCGUCCAAUGCCUUUGGCGAAAAACUGAUCGCUUCAGUUGCCCAAGGACGACGGCGUCCGGAAAGUCGGAAGCCGUUAAUAGUCUCUCCCAAAGCGGUUUCUGAUUCUCAAAAUUCGCAGACAUGUCUUGACCCUGACGCUAGCCGUGUAAGUCUUCUCUUCUCUAGUGUUUUUUUCUUUCUUCUUUUUCUUUUUUUUUUUUCCAAUUUUGCAUGUGCAAGUGCUUUAUGUUCACUGCGUUUGUUAUAUAAUUUCCAGGAAAGUUUGAAAAUAUAUGGAGUUAUCGUAUUGUAAUGAAAUGAGUUGAUGCUGUGCGGUGGAUUUGUAGAAAACUUGAGCUAAAGUUUUGAGCUUUGGUCGGUUGUCUCGGUUAGUGUGAGGGUGCAUAAAAUUUGGCUUUCAAAACGAAGUUACGUGAAUGUGCUCGGUAGAUCCAGGAUCUACGCUCUCUUGCUCUGUGCAUUUGCGAUUUGAGCGAAUAAUCUACAGUAUAUAAGUAUUUUGUCUUCUGAGUGUGUCUGUAGCAAAAGAAAAAAAGAGGAAAUUAAUAAGACAAAAAUGAAUUGACAGUAGUCAUAUCUAAAACAGUAAAUAAUUAUGAUAGAAAAUGCUUAUUGUAAGAGUUGGUUUUUAACAAGUUGAACUGAUUAUUUGAUGCACAGGAGCUGGAUUUAAUUGUUCACUUGUUUACUGGUGGAGUGAUAGCAGUUGUCUUGGCAUCUAAUCACUGACUAAUUGGGAUGAGUACGAUGAUGAGGAUUAUAAUUAUAAAUUGCUCAUUGUGAUAUGUAUUUGUAUUCUUAUAGCUCACAACUGUGCGUCUUGUUGGCCUAGGUGUGCUUUUUAGUUUAGUUCUACUCUACUGGAAUUUUAAGACGAAAAAGAAAGACUGCAAAAUUUGAGAUAUCCUAGUAGUGGAUCAGGGUUUUAGUAUCAACAAGUCAAGUGUUGGACGACAGAAUCAUACAUAUUAUUGUCUCCAAAAGUUUUAGCACCAUUUGUUUUAGUGGAAUGGGUAGAUAAGAACUUGUACUGCAACAUACAGACUGAUGACUUUUAUUUUACAUUUGAGGUCUUUAGUUACUCUCGGUUAAUAGUAUCUGUCAUUGUUCAUUGUUCAGAGUGUUUUGGGAAUUAUUCUCGGAGGUGGAGCUGGGACGCGUCUUUACCCUCUUACAAAGAAGCGGGCCAAGCCAGCUGUUCCACUGGGUGCAAAUUAUCGGUUGAUUGAUAUCCCUGUCAGCAAUUGCUUGAAUAGUAACAUCUCUAAGAUCUAUGUUCUUACGCAAUUCAACUCUGCAUCUCUCAAUCGUCAUCUUUCACGGGCAUAUGCAAGCAAUAUGGGUGGUUACAAGAAUGAAGGUUUCGUUGAAGUUCUUGCAGCUCAGCAGAGUCCAGAAAAUCCUAAUUGGUUCCAGGUAAUUACCUUUCUUAAACUAAUGACUUCUGUGCCUGCUAAUAUAUUGAAUCUGCCCUUUGAUGGCUGUCUUCACAUGGAUAGCUGCUUCAAGAAUAUGAUGUGCUAAUCAUGGUUUUGGAGUUUCUCACUUUGCCUUAGGUGUCAAUUAUGUUAGGACAUGUUGUCCAACUUGUACUUUGUCGACUUUAUGUAGAGAUCAGCAUCAACUGCAACCACAAGUAGAAUUAGCUAGUUCUGUGUUGUAUUAUUUUGUUAGACUUGUUCCCUUGAAGAAUAUUGUCUGCUUGCUGGCACAUGUUUAUGACUUAUAUUUCUUGUUUAUCCGAUAUGGGUCAGGUGGUAAAUUUAGGUAUUCAAACAUAUUUGAGGUAGCAAAAGGUUUCCAUGUUGCCCUAUCCUUGUUCUUUCAAGCAUGUGCAAGUUGCUUGAAUUCCUAUAAUGGCAUUCCUUUUAUCAUCAGGGUACAGCUGAUGCUGUAAGGCAGUACCUAUGGCUGUUUGAGGAGCAUAAUGUUCUUGAAUUCUUGGUUCUUGCUGGAGAUCAUUUGUACAGAAUGGAUUAUGAGAGAUUCAUUCAAGCUCACAGAGAAACAGAUGCUGAUAUAACUGUUGCUGCCUUGCCAAUGGAUGAAAAACGUGCUACUGCAUUUGGUCUCAUGAAGAUCGAUGAAGAAGGGCGCAUCAUUGAAUUUGCAGAAAAACCAAAAGGAGAGCAAUUGAAAGCGAUGAUGGUAAGCUUAUGAAAUAGUUACUCACUUUAGAGCCAGAUGGCCUGCAUUAUGAAUUCUCAAACUUUUUUACAAAAUCAGACAGUGAUACCAUUCACAACCUGCUCUUGUUACAGGUUGAUACAACUAUUCUGGGUCUUGAUGAUGAGAGAGCCAAAGAGAUGCCUUAUAUUGCCAGCAUGGGUAUAUAUGUCAUAAGCAAAGACGUGAUGAUAAGUCUGCUUAGAGAAACGUUUCCCGGAGCCAACGAUUUUGGAAGUGAAGUAAUUCCAGGUGCAACCUCAUUGGGACUGAGGGUACGACAUUUCUAAAAAUUGCUAUUCUAUGAUCAGUUUUACACCAGAUUUUGUCCAUUUGUGCUCUAAGAGAGCUAUUAUUGUUGAACUUCACAUAACAUUUGUGAUGUAAGUUGAUGGUUGUGAAUCCAUUAGCCUCCCAACCACAAAUAAUCUGACCAGCUAUAGAUUCUGAUUAAACAAAUAUAAUGUUGUUAUGCAGUUGUAUUGGAAGUAAACUGCUCACCCUCCUAAAAAUCAUGAACAUCUUAUUGAGUUGAUAGCUUUUUGCCAAGGGAUAGAAUUUUUUUUACGUAAAAAUUUGCUGGCUGAUAUGCCGGUCAUGUGUGUAUGACAUUCAAAAAUUACCAACCACUUGACAUUUUUGUGGUGUAAUUGGUGCAUCUUCGGACUCUUGUUUCUGGAAGUCUGAUUGCUGCUGCUUUCUUUAGGUUCAAGCUUAUUUGUAUGAUGGCUACUGGGAAGAUAUUGGUACAAUUGAAGCUUUCUAUAAUGCCAACUUGGGGAUCACAAAGAAACCAGUGCCAGAUUUCAGGUUUGCCUAUGUAUUCUUCAGAUAAUUCUUCAUAUUGUCUCAUGUUUUUAUGCUGUGUUUUUCAACUGAAGCUCAAAUCUCAUUUUGAACAUUUUUUAGCUUCUAUGAUCGGUCAGCUCCAAUAUACACCCAACCUCGAUACUUACCUCCUUCCAAGAUGCUAGAUGCGGAUGUCACAGAUAGUGUCAUUGGUGAAGGCUGUGUCAUCAAGGUAAGAUUAGCCUUGGGCAGCAAGGCUACACUUCUAAUGGUUAAUGAUUCCAUUUGAUUCCAUUUCUGGUUACCAAACUGCAUUUUUGCUGUCUCAGUUUUGGAAAUUGCUGUCUUUUGAUUUCUUUUUCAAAAACUAGCAUUUAUGUUGUUUGAUCCUUUAGCUGGAAAUAAACCACUGUACGACUUUUCAUUACCAUGCAGUGGUCUAGAAUAGUGAAGGAGCAUUGCAUUUAAGGAAACUAAUUUUAGUGAAAGAGUAGAUACGCGUUUGUCCUAAUCUAUAGUAUCUUUCUUCUCGCAGAACUGUAAAAUACAUCACUCCGUAGUUGGACUAAGGUCAUGCAUCUCAGAGGGUGCAAUUAUAGAAGAUUCACUACUCAUGGGAGCGGAUUAUUAUGAGGUAAUUCUGUAUAUGAAUGGGCCGAUUCUAAUUACUUUCAUGUAUUGAGUAUUAAAUUAGUAGUCUUCAGAUAAUGCACUGUGAUCCACAUUGUUGAUCUAAAUAGCUAGCUGUUUUGGGUAACAUUAUCUGAUUACGCAUUGUUUGAUAAUUCUUCUUGGGGAAUUGCACAUUUUGCACCUUGUUUUAGUUGGCCAACUGAUAUAAUUUAUUCUACUUGCUCCAGACGGAUGCUGACAGGAGGUUUUUGGCUGCAAAAGGUAGUGUUCCAAUUGGUAUUGGGAAGCACUCUCAUAUCAAGAGAGCAAUAAUUGACAAGAAUGCUCGAAUUGGAGAUGAUGUGAAGGUUCAAUUCCUGUAUUUUCUUAUUGAUCUCGUAAAAUUCAAUCGAAUCAGUGUAUUUCCUAAAACUGAACACAGAUAUCCAUUAUACUCCUAUAUCUAAAAAUAUUGCACGGCUUUGUUGGUACUGGUGUGGUAUUUGAGCAUAUUGUCAACUGCGAAUUCCCUGACAUGCGAUUCUAUUUUUCAGAUCAUUAAUGGUGACAAUGUCCAAGAAGCAGCCAGAGAAACUGAUGGGUACUUCAUCAAGAGUGGGAUUGUCACCGUUGUCAAGGAUGCUUUGAUUCCCAGCGGAACUGUCAUCUAGAGAUCUCCCUCACUUAAAUGCAGCAUCCAUAAGGGAAGUGAGGCGUCGGUUUGCUGUUCACUUUUUUGCCUGACUACAUAUGCAGAAAACUAUCCUUCCACUUAUCGUGUAUUGUAUGCGGUGUAUAUUCUGAAAACAGUAAUUUAUCUAAGACAUGAUAAA
rnacentral:lncRNA from 1 species